rnacentral:lncRNA from 1 species
AGGAAAGAGGGCUUGUGGAACAAUGGCUGGAAGUUGAAGCACACAACUUCCACCCACCUAGCUACAAUAUGGUCCUUCACAUUCUCUUUGCCUCAGUUUUGGGCUUUCCUUCAGACCCUAAGAUCAUACAAGAAAGUGAAGAAAAGUUGGGAAGAGUGUUGGACAUUUACGAGGAGCGGCUGUCGAAGAGUAAGUACUUGGCUGGUGAUUUCUUUAGCCUUGCUGAUUUUAGCCACCUUCCGCUCACUCAAUUCUUGGUGGCUAAUAUGGGGAAGGAGUAUAUGAUCAAGGACAGAAAGCAUGUCUCUGCAUUGUGGGAUGACAUUAGCAACAUACCAUCUUGGAAGAGGGUCCUCCAGUUUGGUUCCCCAUUUUAAGGUCGAUGUACCUUUGGAAGAAAAUGUAUGUACAUUGGGUGUACACAAUGGUUUUUCUUGUACUGAUAAUGUGCUGUGUAUGAAAAGUUAUUGUGAAAAGAAGGUUUUACUCUCUCGUACUUUAUAUAAACUUUUGUACCCUGGGGUUUUUUAAGAAUAGAAUGGCAGUUUGAAUAAUCUUCUGUAUUGAUUCAUUAAAAUAUACAAGCUAGGCUAGAGUUCUUAUACAAACUGUAAAGAUACAAUCACAUCCUGUAAUUCCUACAAAUAAGCUAAGUAAAUAUAUUUACAAAAGGAAAGAAUAAAUCGUUGAUAGUCAAUGAUCACCAUGCUACCAAAUGGGAAGGAAAUCAUUCAUAUCAUAACACUCCCCCUCAAGUUGGCAAGUGAAUGUCAAAAACCGCUAACUUGCUCAGCAAAAAAUGGAAUUGUUCUUUUCCUAAAGGCUUCGUGAAUAUGUCAGCAACUUGCCUUGAAGAUGGAACAAAUUUGGUGACUACCUUUCCUUGAAUUUUAUCUCGAACAAAAUGACAGUCAAUCUCUAUAUGGCGUGUCCGCUCAUGAAAAACAGGAUUAGCGGCAAUGUGAAAAGCCGCUUGGUUAUCACAGUGUAAAACAGCAGCGCCCAUAUCUUUAAUACGUAAAUCACAUAAAAGACUUUGUAACCAGGUGAGCUCACAACAGGUAGCAGCCAUUAAACGGUACCCUGCUUCUGUAGUAGAUAAUGAGACAGUCUUCUGCUUUUUGCUUUUCCAUGAAAUUAAAGAAUCUCCAAGGAAAACACAAUAUCCGGUAGUAGAACGUCGAAUCACCGAACACCCUGCCCAAUCGGCAUAAAAAAAAGCCUUCAAUUGUAACAAACUUUGUGAGGAAAACAAAAUACCUUGACCUGGAGUGUCCUUCAAAUAUCUCAAAACACGUAAAGCUGCAUCAUAGUGAGGCUUGCGAGGAUGUUGCAUGAAACGACUCAACGUGUUCACUGCAAAAGUAAUAUCGGGUCUACUGAUAGUUAAAUAUAUCAAACGUCCUAUUAAUCUUUGAUAGAUGGACAUAUCGUGAAGUAAAUCUCCUUCAUUAGGAAGUAGCUUCAGAUUUUGUUCCAUGGGGAAGCUAGCUGAUCGUGCUCCCAAAAGACCCAAAUCUUUCAAAAUGUCCAAUAAAUAUUUUCUUUGAGAAAUAAAGAUCCCCUUUUUUGAACGAGCAAUCUCUAUUCCUAAAAAAAUAUUUAAGGGCUCCUAAAUCUUUGAUGCAGAAGCGUUUAUUCAGAAAAGAUUUAAGAGAACCAAUAGCCGUCAUGUCAUUACCAGUGAUCAAGAUAUCAUCAUCGUAAAUAAGGAGAGCUGUGAACGAUUUGCCAACUUUUCUUGUAAAAAGGGAAUAAUUGGCUUUGGACUAUGUAUACCCAGCUGCACAAAUAGCCUCAGAAAACUUAAAAAACCACUGCCGAGAAGCCUGCUUUAAUCCAUACAAAGACUUGUGAAGACGACAUACUAAAUGCUCCCCCUGUCGCCGAAGACCAUGAAGUGGAACCAUAUAUAUUUCCUCAUAGAGAUCACCAUGUAGGAAGGUGUUGUGGACAUCCAUUUGAUGUAGGGACCAGCCACUAGCAGCUGCAAUAGCAAGCAGACAACGAAACGUAACCAACGUUGCAGUCGGGGAAAACAUAUCCUGGUAAUCAACACCUUCAAUUUGAGUGUAACCCUUGGCCACUAAACGAGCUUUGUAACGCUCAAUAGUGCCAUUGGACUUGUGCUUGAUUUUGUAUACCUAACGACAACCAAUAGGGGCCUUGCCAGGUGGAAGUGCAGUCAAAGACCAAGUGGCAUUAACUUCGAGAGCUUGAAUCUCCGAGGUCAUGGCUUCUCACCAUCGAGGAUCUUUAGCAGCCUCUGCAUAUGUGUUAGGUUCAACAGAGAGAGUAAUAUUGGCAAUAAAACUUUGAUAAGAUGGAGAAAGAUUUUUAUAAGAAAUAUACUUGCAUAAAGGAUGGUGAGUACAUUUUUUAGAAGAACCUGGAGUCGAUGCAUUGAGUGGGGAAGACGAGGAAACAUGAGAGCAAGCAUAGUCAUCAAGGUAAGUAGGUGUACGUUUAGGCCUAUCAGAGUGGCGUAUGGAGGGGGCAACAUGUGGACUAGGUGAUGGAGGAGGGCUAUUGGUGACUGUUUGGUUUGAGAGAGGUGUAGCAAUGAAGUUGGAUGAAGUCUCAUUGUCAACCUGAGGGGAUGGUGAGAUGGACUCAACAUGAGUGGGUGGGGUCUCAAUGUCAUCAUGAGUAGGAAGAGGCAAGACAGGUUCUUGAGUUUGGGGUUAAAGGAGUGGUGAUAAAAGGAAAAUUAGACUCAUGAAAAAGCAACAUCUUGGCUGGUGAAUACUUUGUGAGUAGAAAGGUUGUACAACUUAUAUGCUUUUUUACCAAAGGGAUAUCCUAUAAAGACACAUUUGCUGGCUCGUGCAUCAAAUUUAUGAAGAGGUUGAACAUUGGUGGCAUAAGCUAAACAUCCAAAAGUACGCAAGUGUGCAUACGAUGGUGGACGGUCAUAAAGAACCUCAAAAGGUGAUUUAUUGGACAAAAGUGGUGUGGGUAAGCGAUUUAUGAGGUAGAUUGCAGUAAGGACACAAUCUCCCAAAAAAUACAAAGGUAAGUGACUCUGAAAGCGUAGUGCCCUGGCCACUUGCAAAAUAUGACGGUGUUUUCGCUUGACCACUCCAUUUUGUUGUAGAGUAUCUGUGCAAGAACGUUAAAAAAUCAUACCAUUCUCAGAAAAGAAAGAAUGUAGGGACAAAAACUCACUACCAUUAUCAGUUCGAAUUUUCUUAAUUUUGUGAUGGAAUUGAGUUUCUACAUAAGAAAAGAAAGUUUUAAUUAACUGUUGUGUUUCAGAUUUAUGUCUCAUCAAAAAGAGCCAAGUGGUUUGAGAAAAAUCAUCAACAAUUGUUAAGAAAUAUCGAGCCCCAUUAUAAGUAGAAAUUUUGUGCGGUCCCCAAAUGUCACAAUGAACAAGCUAAAAAAUGUGUUUACUGGAAAUAUGACUUAAUGGAAAAGGCAAUCUAGUUUGCUUUACUAAUGGGCAAACAUCAUAAGGUUUAUUUGAAUAAGAAUAAGCAUCUAACGAUUGCUUAGCUAAAAGGUGGAGUCGUUGUGGAGAGGGAUGACCAUGACGACGAUGCCAUGAAAUGGAAUUAACGCAACUAGGUGAAGGUGAAGUGGUGCGGUUACUGUUUGGUUUGGUGAGAUAGUAAAGACCUCCACGUUGUCUACCCCAUCCAAUCAUCUUUCUCAUCUUUAAGUCCUGUAAGACACAAAAAUCCGAAAAAAAUGUUAUGGAGCAUUGAAGGGAUUUUGUUAAACGACUAACGGAUGUCAAAUUAACCAAAAAUGAGGCAAUUCGUAAUACGUUAGUCAAUGAAAGUUUGGGAUCAAAAGUAAAAUUGUCAAUACUACUAAUUGAAACCCUUUCACUAGUCAGAAGUUUUCCUGGUGGUAGAGACUUGUUCACAAUAGAGUUUGAUAGGGGAAGCGCUGUAACAUGAUCCGUGGCGCCACUAUCCAUUAUCCAUUCUUGUGAAUGAUGGGAAAACAAACCUGAGAUUGCAUUGGUCUGUGCUUCAGAUGGCAAAUUUCCAGCCAUCAUAGCAAAGAGUUGUUGAAGCUGCUCAGGAGUAAAAGUCAUCGGUGUUGCUAAUGUAGAGGAAGAAGUUGAAGAAGUUGUUGCUUGAACAUGGUUGGUCGCAGGUUUUCCCUCCUUACCACGGCCCUUUCCCUUGUUCUUUUUAUGGAGACGAUGGUCUUCGGGAUAUCCAUGAAGCUGGUAACAAGUCUCCCUGGUGUGGUGGUCCAUGUCACAAUAAUCGCAAUGUAGCAGCUUGCGAUUCCCUUGCUACCACGGCUAUGUUGAUUACCUCGACCACCUUGAACUGCCAUGGUUGCUCCUUCCACACUUGGUUAUGGGAUGGCUGCAAUUCCACGUUGAUUCUCCUCUUGGUUAACCAUUGAAAAAACUUUGAGCACUGAAGGCAAUGGCUUUACAAGCAGAAUCUGACCUCUCACUGCUGCAUAUGAAUCAUCAAGCCCCAUUAAAAAUUGCAUAACCUUAUUUUGCUCCUCUUUCUCGCUACGGUAUUCCAUGGCACCAUAUGAGCAGUUUUUAUGGCUGCCGUAAGAAGAUAAUUCAUCCCAUAAACCCUUCAAUUGGGAAUAAUAGUCAGACACAGACAUCUGAUUUUGAGUGAAGCGUGCAAUAUCACACUGAAUCUCAAAAAUUCGUAGGACGUUGUCUUGUGAAAAAUGAAUCUUGAGGUCCUCCCAAAUAGCAUGUGCAGUUUCUGCAUAAACCACACUGUUUGAUAACCCAUAACUCACAUAAUUUAAAAUCCACAUGAGAACCGUGUCUUUACAGCGCUGCCAAAGAGCAGCUUCAGUUGCUUUCUUGUCUGACGGCUUCUUCACAGACCCAUCAACAAAACCAAAUUUGUUCUUUGCAUUAAGGGCAAUACGCAUUGAAUGAGACCAUGUGCUAUAAUUGUUUCCAGUAAGUAGAGUAGAAACAAGAUGCAUCCCUGGAUUAUUAGAGUGAUGAAUAUAGAAAGGGCUUGAGGGAUCGUUCGACACCUCAACCGACUUGGAGUCUCCCAUGGCAAAAAAAGCGACUUUGCUCACAAGAAAAACCGAAAAAAGGAACGAAGAGAAACCAAGGAAACAAAAAAAAUCCUAGGAUCUUGGACUCUCUGGUAUCAUCUUAAGAAUAGAAUGGCAGUUUGAAUAAUCUUCUGUAUUGAUUCAUUGAAAUAUACAAGCUAGGCUAGAGUUCUUAUACAAACUGUAAAGAUACAAUCACAUCCCGUAAUUCCUACAAAUCAGCUAAGUAAAUAUAUUUACAAAAGGAAAGAAUAAAUCGUUGAUAGUCAAUGAUCACCAUGCUACCAAAUGGGAAGGAAAUCAUUCAUAUCAUAACAGGGGUUGGUCAAAAUAAAUAAUCAGAACAACUUGUUGGAAUAAUGUGCUCUUUCCUUUAUCAUUUGCUUUAUGUCAUGGUUAUCUGCCGAUCUGUGGUCAUUUUUAUGUGUCAUCUUCCUUCUAUUUUCACUUGAUGAUCGGCACUGCAAGGUCAAGCUCAUCUCUGAUGUUCGAACUUGUGAACUACAUAAUACUUCCCCAAAUUAGGGUUUAUCAAUAGUAAAAUAUGUGUGACUUUAACACCACUUGGCAGUGUGAAGUCGCACUGAGAAGAUUAAGUAGAUAAAUACAUGGGUUAUAGUAUGUAAAAUUAUAAUAUCACGUGACAAUGCAACAAUCAUUUUUAAAGGAUUAAGUACAUAAAUACACGUGUAUAAUAUGAAUUAAAAAGAUCAAGUACAUAAAUACAUGUGUAUAAUAUGAAUAUCAUUCAUGUAAGUGUCUCACGUGAGUGGCUUAAAGGAGACAGUUAUUCAUCAUAUAUUCAUUGUUCAUCAUAUGGAUACAAAACAAGGCAGAUAGAUAUUCAUAACGUCAACGCAUUUCAGAUGCUUUCAUCACAUUUGGCACCUUUUACUCGUCUUAUGUUAUGGCCUCCAUUUUAUAUGCCAUAUGUCUUAUGUUAUGCCCUCCAUUUUAUAUGACAUAUUUAUAAGAAAUUGUUAUUGACAUUGUACAUAAUUGUCUUUCCUAUUGACACUGUACAUAAUUGUCUUUCCCUUGCUAUUUAGAGCAUCUUCAAAAUAGAUGUCAAAAUAUCCAAAUUAGCAUUAACAAUCAAAAGAUAGCAACAAUUUUCCAACCGAAAAACCAAAUUUGAUGUGGCAUGAUAUGGAUUGGCAACCAUCAUCCUUGCUGCCCAAAUUAACAGUAACUUCAAAUCUUUUUUUAAUUAAUUAUUGACUGCAUUUUAUUAAUUUCAUUAUUGUUUUUUAUUUCAAAACAUUUAUUAUAACAUUUUAAUAUAAUAAAAUAAUAGCUUAAUUGACACAUCGGGUGGAGAGAAAACCUAAAAGAUGUCAAACUACCAUAUUGACUGUCAAAUUUAAAUUUUAUGUUUAAACUUAGGUAAAUUACAUUUUACCCCCUCUAGUUGAGGUGAACAAAUUUGUUGGAAUUUUGGAUUGACGGGCGGAGGCGCUCCACUCUAACAAUACUAAUAUUGUUCCCAACUUAGCAAUUACUACCUACCCAAUCCGUCAGGUGUGGGGACAUGAGUAUAAGUUAAAGUGAGAUAAUUAUAUUUAAACUCAUUAUUUCUCUUUCCCAUGUGGGAUAGUCAACAAAAAUAGAUGUUAAGUAAUGACGUGCUAAUAAUAUGUUCCUCAUUUAUGCUGACGUGACCGACUACCAACUUGUGCCACAUAACCAUUAAAUUAAAAGACUUUUCGACUAGAAAAAUGAUCUUCGAAAUGCAUCCUUCUUUAAUCUCUGAAAAUAUAAUUUAUCCUUUAAAAUUUAGCAUCUCUUUUUGAAGAUGCUGCUAAGAAAACUACAAAUGGAUGGAUGUAUGCAUGUGAGCAGCCCCAACGACCCUCCACUCCAAUUUUAAAUUCUUCCAUCAAUUGUUGGGGUGCUAUAUAAUAAGAAGUAAAGAACCACAAGCUGGAGUUUGCAGACUGAAUCUAAAUCCUUCGGUUUUAACACUAAGAAGUCAUAACAUGGUGGUGAAGGUGUAUGGGCCUCUGUACGCCGCCCCAAAGCGUGUGCUGGUAUGCCUUGUUGAGAAAGAGGUUGACUUUGAGACAGUCCCCAUUGAUCUUCUCAAGGGAGAGAACAAACACCCUGAUUUCCUCAAGUUACAGGUUAGCUAAUUAGUUACCUCUUAAUGCAAUUGUUUCUGAUUAGUGAUUGUUUUACUCAUGGUAUGAAUUGAGAUGGUCUUUUGUAAAUAUGUAAUUAUUUCUUUAUUUUCCGAUCGUGACAAAAGAAACACUUAUUCUUUCUUCAACAAUUUAUGCUUUUAGUGGACUUCUCAAUAGGAUUUAAACCCAGAUGAAGUUCUGAUCAUCUGUUAGAGAAAAAAGAAUGAAUAAGUAUGUAAAUUAUUUACUUGUACAUUGGUUUUGUAUUGGUUUGUCUUUAAUUGCAGCCAUUUGGAACAGUUCCUCUCAUUCAAGAUGGGGAUUAUACUCUAUAUGGUAUGCUAUGCUUUCUUUCUAGCACUUGAUCUUUUAGUUUUUAUUAUUUAUAUUGAGGGUAAAUUACACAAAACUAUCUUAACUAUUGGGUCAACUACAGUUUCAUACCCCAUCUUUAAAAAAUUUCAAUGUCAUACCUUAUCUACGAAUUUAUUGUAAUGUCAUACAUUCCGUUAGUUUGUCUGUCAAUUCCUCCGUUAAAUGCUGACGUGGCUUAAAAAAUUUAAUUAAAUAUUAAAAACUAAAAAAAUAAAAUCAUUUAAUUUUUUUCUUUGCAUGGGGGACCCAAGGGAUGGGCAAAAUACUCAUGGGUUUGGGUAACAGCGGUUACCCGUCUAUUUAAAGUUCACAUUUACGAUUAUGGGUAACCGUUUGGACGAACAAAUGGUUAUGGCUAUAACCGUUUAUCCGUGAAAUUUAAAUGGGCGAUUAUGAGUAUUAUCCGCGGUUAUAACGGGUAUCCAUCGGUUAUGGGCAUUACUUACGGUUAUAACGGAUACCCAUUUACCCAUUUAAUUUAAUAUAUGUAAAAUUUAAAAACUAUUGAGCGAACUCUAAAAUUAGUAGGACUAUUGAGCAAACUCUAAAAUACAUGCGUAAUCAUUGUGUUCUUCUUGAAAACCGCCUACUCCAGCUUUGCGCAUAUCAUGUCAAACGUUCCAUUGCUCAUCUGAAACGCCUUUCGAAACUCCUCCUUCGAAACGUCUGGGUGGCCUAAAUUCUCCCACCACACCUUGGACCUGACCUUCACCCAAAGCCUCAUGUGUGGAUCCGAAAUCGUAGCACUCAAAAAUUAGUAGGACUAUUGAGCGAACUCUAAAAUACACGUGUAAUGAUUAUGCGUGUUUUGAAUAAUCUAGUAUUCAAGAUAAUGACUACUUUUUGUUUUUAUAAACUUUACUUUGUAAUCAUAUGGAUUAUAAUUAAAAACUUGCUUGGAUGUAGCAGAAAAAUAUCGUUCAUAAACUUUAAUUUCAAUUAUUGGAAUUGUAUGAGGACUGAAAUGUUUAAAAUAGGGAAAUGCAUGCUAAAAUUUACCUAUAACGGUGUUUAAUUGUCAGAAAACAAAAAUUAUGACAAAUUUUUCUUUUUUAAUUUUCAAGUUGUUAAAAAAAAAAAACAUGUAAACAGGUGAAAAAAGGAGUAAAUGGGUAAAAAAAGGAUAAAUGGGUUCAAAAACGGAUAAAUAGUUAUAGUUAAAUAGGUAAACGGUUAUAGUUAAAUGGGUACACGGUUAUGGGUAUGAUUAACUGUUUAUAUACAGUUAUAGGUAUGAGUAUAACUGUUUAUGCAAUUACCCAACGGGUAAAUGGUUAUGCGAGUAUGAACAUAAAUGGUUAUAGGUAAAUAACCGCGGUUACACGCCCACCGUAACGUUGCCCAUCCCUAGACCCAGCCUUUAUCCCCCUCACCUUUCUUCCCCGCCCCAACCCAAACCUAGAUCCCACCCGCUCCGAUUUUCCCCCAAGCCACCCCCCAAACUAAUCACCCUCAACCUUCUUCCCCAUCUUUCUCCCCUGAACUCAUCACCCUCACCCUUAUACUUUCUCUCUAAAAUCCACUCCCUUUCUCUCUGUAAAAUUUCCAUACCAAAAUUAACGGCAUAUUCCUCUCUCUCUCUCUCUCUGUUCUUCCUCCCAAAUUUUCUCGGAAAAUCCUUCAUUGCAAACCCAAGAACCCAUCAGAAACGUUUAUUUUCCCGGGAACCAAUUAGCCCCCAAAGAAAUUUUUUGAUUCAAAUUAAGGGUUGCUUUCCCAAAUUUUUUGAUUCACUGCAAACCCAAGAACCCAUCAGUGAGUAGGGACUGAUUCAAAAGAAUGCUGGUGAAGAUUAUGAGGUGGUGACCAUGGCUGCAUCUGACGAUGAGGUGAGGCUAGUGUACAGAGGUUGGAGGGUUAGGAUCUGGUGAGGGAGGGUGCAGGCGGGGGCCGGUCCACAAGACAGAAAAAGAGGAGAAGUGGACGGCGGAGAUUAGGUGGAAGGGAUCCAAGGUCAAGGUUGGGACCAAUGAGGCUGCUGUUGCAGUGUGAAAGGGAGAGAGAAUACGGGAGGAAAGGGGAGAGAGAGAGGGGAAGGAUGGUUCUGGGCACAACAAGGGAGUGAAGUGGGGGAGGAAGGUGGGUGAGGUUGGUUUUUAUUAGGGUGCCAUGCAAAAAAAAUAUUAAAUGAUUUUAUUUAUUUUUAGUUUUUAAUAUUUAAUUAUGUUUUUUAAGUCACGUCAGCAUUUAACGGAGGAAUUGACAGACAAACUGACGGAAUGUAUGACAUUGCAACAAAUUCGUACAUAAGGUAUGACAUAAGAUGAGGUAUGAAACUAUGGUUGACCCAAUAAUUGAGGUAAUUUUAUGUAAUUUACUCUUAUUCUGAUACAAAUGAUAGUGGGCUAUGAAAUCUCAAUUGCAUUGGUGAAUAUUCGUAAUUGAGUAACAACUAUUUUUGCUAGCACAUGAUAUAUUUUACUUUUGGGUCCAAAUUUAUCGUCUUUUGAGAAUUUCCUUAGCAUCAGAUUGACAUUACAAUACACUUGCUCAUUGGUUUCUUAACAUCACCAAUACAAUGAUCUAACAAGUUGUUUAAGAAUGUAAAGUUGCACGUACCAAAUAAAAUACAACACAUAACUAGUGAUUCCACUACUAAUAGAACUUGCUUGAAAGGUGUUCGAUGAAAUGCCUGAACUGAUCACCAAUACAAUGAUCUAACAAGUUGCUUACUAAGAAUGUAAAGUUGCACAUCGGAAACCUGAACAAAUAAAAUACAACACAUAAUUAGUGAUUCCACUACUAAUAGAACCGAAUUUUUUUAUUUUUAUUUUUAUUUUUUUGAGAUAAAACUCCACUGGUCCGUCUUUCUGAAAUCUUACCAAUUGUUUGAUUAAAUUGUCUUCGAUCUGCAGAAUCACGUGCAAUCAUGAGGUACUACGCAGAAAAAUAUAAGUCACAAGGGACUGAUUUGCUGGGAAAGACAAUUGAGGAAAGAGGGCUUGUGGAACAAUGGCUGGAAGUUGAAGCACACAACUUCCAGCCACCAAUCUACAACUUGGUCGUUCACAUUCUCUUUUCCCCAGUUUUGGGUUUUCCUUCAGACCCCAAGAUCUUACAAGAGAGUGAAGAAAAGCUGGGAAAAGUGCUGGACAUUUACGAGGAGCAACUGUCGAAAUGCAAGUACUUGGCCGGUGAUUUCUUCAGCCUUGCUGAUCUUAGCCACCUUCCAUUCACUCACUUCUUGGUGGCUAAUAUGGGGAAGGAGUAUAUGAUCAGGGACAGAAAGCAUGUCUCUGCAUGGUGGGAUGACAUUAGCAACAGACCAUCUUGGAAGAGGGUCCUACAGUUUGGUGACCCAUUUUAAGGUUGAUGUACCUCUGGAAGAAAAAUUGUGUACUACGGGUGUGUACAAUUGUUUUUCUUGCAGUGAUGACGUGUUGUGUAUGAAACAUUAUUGUGAGAAGAAUGUUAAAUUCUCGUGUAGUUUAUAUAACUAUUGUACCCUGGAGUUGGGCAAAAUAAAUAAUCAGAACAGCUUGUUGGAAUAAUGUGCUAUCUCCUUGAUCAUUUGCUUUAUGUCAUGGCUUGUGAGAUGUUUUUUAUUUCUCUGUAAGACGUAUUCGACCUUCCAUUUGCUAAUUGGCUGAUCUUUGAUCGUUUUUCUGCUUCAUCUUCCUUCUAUUUUUUUGUUUCUGGUUUUUUCAGUAGUCCUCAUCUGUGAUGCCCGAACUUGUGAACUACAGGGUUGAUACCUCUCCAAAUUAGGAGUAGCAAAAAAUAGAGUACUGCAAUAUGCAUGACUUUAAUGUCACGUGACAGUAUGAUAAUCACAUUAAAAAGAUCAAGUAAAAAAUACACGUGUAAAUAUGUAUAAUUAUGGCAUUAUAUGACGGUGUGACAGACUCACUGAAAAAAAAAUCUACAAACUUAAGAGCUUAGUUUUGCUAGAAAGGGUCAUGCUUGUACCUUGUAGGUUUAUGGGCCUUCUUCAGGCUGAAUUUGUUGUUAAUUUUAAUUGCUUUUGAAAACCUCAUUAGUUUUGUGAAUGUUUGAUAUCAGAUCGUUACGAAAAAAGCUAAACAAAAUUGUUUAUAUUAAUUUUCCAAAAAAAAAUUGUUUAUAUUAAUACACUAAAGAUUGUAUGAUACUGAUCAAAAUCAAAUUACAAACAUGUACAUCUAUUAUAUUUGGACCGUGAGCUUUGCAUAUACGUUAAAGAACAAUGUUCGACUCUUUAUAUAUAAAGAGUAUUUUGAAACGUGUAACUUAUUAAACUCACAUAAAAAGUUAGGUUUUUAUCAUAAAUGGUCCUUAAAAUUGACCCACCCUAUCAAGAUGGUACCUGAAAUUGAAAAUCAAUCAAUUUGAUCCUUGAAAAUGGAUAUCGCAAAUCAAUAUGGUCAUUCCGUCACAAAUCUGUCAAAAUUCUAUCAUGUACUAAUGUGGCACAUAACUGGAUCCCAUAAGUCUAAUUGAAUAUUGACAUUUGGAUUAAAAAUUAUUAAUAAUAAAUAUCUUUUUUGUUGGGUUAUUUUAUUCACACCCUACAUUUUGUUGAUUACACUUCACAUACUUAAUAAACCCCACUUUUACUUUUUGAACUAAAAUUUAUCUUAAUAUACCCCACAUUUUUUCCAAUACUACCCUCACACCCAACAUACACAAUAAUAAGACACCUAACGCUCAAACUCUUUGUCAAUAUUUAGGUUUAUGUCAAUUGAGUGUUUAGUUUUUUGUCAAUUAGGGAUUUUAGAUUUCGUAUUUGAAGAAAUUGGAUCAAAAGCAUCGAAUGCAAACCAAGUUCUGCAAAAAAUAGAAUAAAGCCUUUGUAAUCUUAGCAAGUGAAUUCAAAAGGUUGUUCAAGAGAAUUUCGGAAGUGUCCAUCAUCAAUUCAUCAUCAAGCCAUCACAUUGAAGACUAUUACUUCUAUUGGCUCGAGUAAGGAGAAAUAAUGUGACAAGUUGCCCUAAGUCGCUUCAUGAGGUUUUCAAUAUUUAUUUUCUGUAUACGAUCAAUAGGCAACAGCAAACUCCAUCAUAUCAAAAGCAAACCAGUUCAAUUUUCUAUGAAGUGAAUUUUGCCAAUCGAAUGAAAUAUUAUAAACAUAAACUGAUAUGUGAUAAAUGACAUUGCAAUGAAUUGUAUCGUUGAGUUCAACAUCGGGUGAGAGUGACUUCGAGAGCUUGAAGAAAAUAAUAUACACUAACCUGUGCACAAAAUGAAUGGAAUUUGCUUUGCAGCCAUAAAAAAUUCAAUUCGUUAAUUGAAUCUCCAACAUAUCAUUUUGUUGAAUCUUUUAGAAGGAUUAACACAAAACGAAUGGAAUGUUUUAUUGGCUGCGCAGGCCUUAAGGUUUUAACAGACAUGGUUGGAGAGAGGAAGCAACAGCCCACAAAGUUUGCAAUCCGAGCAGAAAGAAAAAACCAAGGAUAACAAUGUUUUAUCAUGGUUUCGUUGUUUUUGGCACCCAGAAAGUUAGGCUGUGGGAAAUCAAAUGUCUUCUGAUAAAUAUAUACCCACCUAAUUAAGUACAACCAUGCAUGCACAACGAACACCAAUGCUUCCUGAUAAGAGAUUUUACCACACAUGCACAAGGGUUAAAAACUCCUAUAUUACUUGUAAGAAUGACAAGGUUAUUGUAGUAUAAACGGUUCUCGCAAGGUCGUUCUCCAUAAGGAUUAUUAAAUAAUUAGAAGCAAAUCAAAUUCCAAUUAAUUAUUAUAAAGGAGAAAGUUGAGAUGAUUGAUUUUUUAUGACCUAAUUUAAUAAAACGAAUUUAACUAAUAAAAAUAAGACAAUCUGCAAUAUUAAAGCUGAAGGGAAAGAAAACAGUUUUGUAGAAAUCAAAUUAAGGAAACACUAGGGAUCUGCUGUCACCUUAACAAUCCUAUAUAGUUUGUCCAAUUACUUAUAACCUAUACAUGCAUAUUUCGAAGGUUAGGUGUUCUUAAUAUAUGCCUACUUGGACCCCCAACAUAGAACGUAUAUCAAACAUGCAAUCCAUCUGUGGUAUUCAGAUCAAAUCUAAACAUGCACACCUCAUUAAGUUUUGUAAAACUUUUUGAAAAACCAUGCAACCUUUAAGACGUGGUAUUCAUCUUAAGUGAACUUGCACAUAUUAACCACAAGAAGCCUUCGUCAAUUUCAGGGAUCGACCUCCGACCAAAAUUGCAUCAAAUUACUUUUCUAAACAUCCUAAUGGUGAUCAAGCAUCAAGACAAAUAGAUAGUUUAAACCAGUGCUUAAUAAUUUGAAAACCUGCAUGCAUAUAAUCAUAAGCAAAUUGAAGAGAAACUACAUAUUCUCGUUAAGGCUCAUGGUCUCACCCUAACAAAAAGAGAAUUAGUUAUACAUAUUCAUAAUAAAAAUCAUAAAGUUCUUUAUUGAAAUAAUAAAAGAUCAAAAACACUUAGAAUGGAAGUAGUCUGAAAAUCUCUACGAUUGGCCAAUUUCCUCUCUUCAAGAAUGCACGAAGAAGUUACAAGAAUAAAGCCGCCCAAACUUAUUUAACCUAGCAGAAAUUAAAUUCUCCUAAUAAAAGGUCUUCCAAUCGAACUAGGAAACUAAAUAACUAAAAUAAAAUAGAAAACAUAACCCUAAAUUAAAUGGUAAAAUUCACCUAAAAUAUGAACAGCCACGUUUUAGACCACUAAACUGCUCCAAAACCGUCCCAAUACAGCUGGGUUUAAAGUUUGGAAUAUUCUGAACAUUUUUCCAGAAGGUCACGAACCCAUCAAAGGUCAUCUCGGGCUUCAAAAACUCAAUUUAAGCUCAGAAACGUCAUUUUCGAACACUGCACACUGCUUCUUUAUUCCGUCGCCAGAAAAUAACCGUUUGGUAGAAAAAUUCUAAACUUCGAUAUCAACACUCCAAGAGACACACGAACAUCCUUCAAUUUGAAUCACUCUAAAAUUCGUCCGUUUGAUCAUGUUUUGCUCCAGAGGAAGUCAAAUAUCCUAUAUUGAAAAUAUAAAUCAAAGUAUCAAAAUUCUAUCAAAAUAAUUACCAAAACACACUAAGAAUAGGGUAAAAUAUAUAAUAUGAAAUUGACUCAUCACUUCCAAAACCCGAACCUAAAACCUCGUUAUCACAAACACACAACACAACAUAAGGACAUCAGAAGCAACGGCGAAGCAUCUAUUCAUCUUCUUUCUUCUUUUUUUUCCUUUUUCUUUAAGUUUUAUAUUAUGCAAAAAUAAAAAUUAUUAUUUAAUUGUGUAAUUAUUUUUAAUUCAAAUGUCAACAUUUAAUUAGAAUUGUGGAACCUAGGGCUGGGCACGGGCCAGGCCGAGCCCAAUUUUAAAGGAACCGAACCUUACCCGUUUUAAACAGUAACAAGGCGAGCCGGACCAGGUAGAGGGUUUUUAAGUUUGGGAACCGGGCUGGUUUAAGAUGGGUCCACGGGUCUAAUUAACCUUUUUUUUUCUUUUCCGGUUUUGAUACAGAGCUCUAGAACGUUCCACAGUUCUAGAUUGCUCCUACUGCCAACGAAAUUGACGGCUUGGAAGCUACCCGCACCAGCAGCUGAACCACUGGUGGUGAAUCGGUGAAGGUGGUGGUCCUCAUCUCUCCUAAUCCCAAAUCAAGGUCUCUGUCUCUUGACUCCGAUCGACGAGCAUGGCGCGAGGCUCCAAUCUGACUCAGAUCGACGAUGGUAGUCCUUUGUAUGUACUCAGUGAACCAAACCCUGUUGGCGGACACGCCGCUGGCUGCGAUGAGCUUUUGGGUGUCGAGCACCAUGAUUCUGUAUGCUUUGCACGACGGCGAAGCCAUCGCCUACCAAACCGAAGAUGAAUUCCAUAUCCUUAUGAUAAAAGGCAGAAAGUCCUAAUUUUUAAUUAUAUUUUCCACUAAGAUGAAACCUUUUGUCAAAAAUGUGGACGUAGGGGCAAUGCCUUUGUGUUCUUUGAAUGGGUAUUUCAGAAUCUAAUUAAUCUCCUAGGUUUUUUGAAUUUUGGUGCUCUAUCUAGAUCGGUUCUGUAGAAGUCUCGAAGCAAUCGGCGCAAUGAAUUCGAGGGUGGGAGGGAGAAGAGAAUGAGGAAUAGGUGGUGCCGUCGAGGGAGCUGAGCCAUUGUGGUGGUGGAGGAGAUGACUCGAGUGGGAGUCUGGUCUAAGUCUAGGAAGGAAAGGGACGAUGGGAUGGAAUGGAUAAUGGAUUAGGUUUAGAGAAUUAGUAAAUGGGUUAUAGUUAGAAACGGGCCAUCUGGGGCCCCGUUAUUCCAAAUCCUAAGACUCGACCUGCCCCUUAAAUAUUAUGGAUCCGCCCUGCCCCGUCCCAUUUCUAUUCUCAAAAAAUUGAAACCGGCCUAUACCCGCCCCAAACCUUGAUUACCCGCCUCGACCCUCGGUUCUUGUACCCGUUUGCCCUAUGUGCCACAUCAGCACAUAACAUAAUUUUUGACAAAUUUGUCACGGAAUGACUACAUUGAUUUAUGAUAUCCAUUUUUAAGGAUCAUUUUGAUUGAUUUUCAAUUUCAGGGACCAUCUUAAUGGAAUAGUCAAUUUCAACGACCAUUUGUGAUAAAAACCUUAAAAUUUUUUUGCAUACAUGUCAAAUUAUAAUUUUUCUGUUAAACCUUAGCCAGAUGCGACUAGUCAGCCUUACGAACUCGAGAAUUCUUGUAGCAGUUGUACGUGGCACUGAGAUCUUUGUCGUGCAUCUAUCGACUUGAAACGUAACACAAAAAAAUGAUGAUGGUCAAACUGAUCAAGCGGCAGUAAUAUUAGAAGUCUUGUUUAAUUGUUUACAUUUUGAAUAAGAUUAAAUGAACCAGCAGGUAUGUUGCCCACAAUACAAGAAAUGCCUUUUCAUGAAGUUUACCAUUGGGAGCUAUUCACCAUCUGGUUUUUCCAAUGAGAUAUAACGACUUUGUGUGUUGUGAUCACUGUUUAAAAGUCUCGCCUAGGCCUUGCUUAGGUGUUAGGUGCUAAGCUACUAUUACGAUUAAGCAUUAGACGUUUAAAAAAUAAAAAUUGGCACCUAGAUUUGCUUAGGCACCUACCUAGUAAAACGCCUAGGUCAUGACUCUCAUUUAGACAGAAAAUAGAUAAUUUUCCUUUUGCAUUUUAUUUUUGAAGAAAUUAGGUUCCCUUCAUUUAUUUUUUCUUACUCCAUUGAUUAAAACCUUAUUCCUUUUCAACUUUUGAUUAAGAUCCUUAGGUUUUAAUGAAUGUCAUUAUUUCAAUAAUAAAAUAUUUACAUGUCAAGAUAAUUAAAUUUUGUUACUAAAUAUAUUCAUUUAGUGUUAGAAACGUUACAUUUGGUAUGUUUAUAUUUAUGACUAAAGUUUGUAUCAUAUAUUUCUAUUUUUAGUUUGUACCCAUUUUUAAUUUGCAACCAUUUUUUUAAUUUGUACCAUUUUUCUUUAUAGUUUUAAAUUGUACCCAUAUAUUAAUUUUUUUGUUCCCAUAUUUUUAAAUUUUUAUUUGUAAUCAUAAUUUUUUUCCUAUUUUAUUAGUGCCUAUAAUUUAUUUAUUGUCACAUCCCAGCCCUGGCCCCCACCAUAUCCCAUGACACACCCCGACCGAGAUCAAGGCAUGCUGGCCGUCACGUGAGGGUGACGUAGCCAUGUGCGCAGUGCGGAAGCAAUUAAGAUAAGAAAUAUACGGAUAUUAAAAAACCGAAACUACUAGAGUGCACUAUAAAGCAUGAAGUGAUAAGAGUUAGUUACAAAAGUAAAUACUCCUAAUCGGAGCAUAAUAAUCCUAGGUGCAGUCCAGUAGGACAAGUACUAGUUAUACAAUACCAGAAAUGUCCUAUUAUUAUUUAGAUAUGUUAGAAACGCCGAAGUCCUCGAACCCAGCAACAGCAAGCUUAUCGAAAACCUGGAGGGGCGCAAAACAGAAAACGUGAGUGGGCAAAAACAAAUGUUUUACAAAACCAUUUCAUUUAUCAACAUAUCUAACCCUUCACUAUAAAACAUGUAUAAUUUUUCCCAGAAUCAAGAUAUAUGCAUAUACAUAAAUAUAUAUAUAUAUAUAUAUAAUUAUAUCAAUUCAAACCAUGCUUCACAUAAUCAUUUUCAUAAGUAUGCCAUGCCAAAAUAUAACAGAGUAAGCAAUUCAAGUAAGAAUAAUUUCAUAGAAAUAUAACAUGUUAGUCGGAACCCUUGUGGUAAUCUGUACGGCUGAAUUCAUAGCUCAAAAGUCAAUCUAGCCGGAGUCAAUACAAUGACCUAUACGGCAACAUACUGCACAAGAGUCAGAGCCAAAUGAAAAGGUCUGUACGACAAUAAUGGGUGUAAUAUAAUCAUGCUCAACACUACUCUCACAUAAUAGUUGGGCGAUAAAUCGCUAGUCACCUACGAGUCGGAACCAUAAAUAAGGUCUGUACGACAAGGCUAUGCACCUAAAUUGGAUCCAAUAUGAGCAUAUGGUGCGGGAGGUGACAUACUAAACAGGCUUGUGCCAAAUCUCUGGCUAAAUCACAAUCACCCUAGGUGCAGUUUUAUGAGUUCAACAUUAUUCAAUCACAUAUCGCAUCAUUGACAAUUCGCAUAACCCAAUAUAACUCACCUGAGCUUAACUGAGCGUCCACAACACCACACACACACACACACACACACAUAUAAAGCAUCAUAUACUAAUUCAUAUGCUGAAUAUAAAUUUAUAUGCAUGGCAUUUCAAAGCAUACUUUCAUUUAAAUGCAUUUUCUGGGAAAAUAUCAAGUAUAUAAGUAUAUACUGAAAACCAAAAGCCCACUCACUGGUAUGUCGAAGGAUCGUAGCCCCCGAGUCACCCUUGAAUGCGCUCGUCCUCGGGAUAAGUCUCACCUAUAUGCGAAUUAACUAUAAAAAUGUUAUUUUAGAGCACAUACACAAAACUAGUUAAUAACUUCUCAUACAAUGCUCAAUUUUGGUAUUUGAAUAUACCACAGUGACCUACACAACCUCAGGAUCAUCUCCAAAUUUUUAGAAUAAUUCUUGGACCCCUCAAGCGCCGCCAAGGCCACGGCCCUACGCGCCCCCACGCGCGGCCACGUGACAAGCAUACUGACGACAUCAGUCAACACCGUCAGGAAUAUUCUAGGGAAUAUUCCAUUAAAAUCCAACGGUAAUUGUUAAAGAUGACUGACGGCGUUAGCUUAUUCCGUCAACCUUGACGGAAGAUACUCCUUUCUUCUCCGGCGACUUCGCUGGUUUCUAGGUAAAACUUUAAAACCACUAUUCUCUUUCGUUUCUUCACCAUUUUCCACAAAAUUGGUACCAAAAUGAAGCUAAUAGCAUGCAAAAUCACGUUAUACAAGUUUCAAGGCUUAAAAUCUACUAGGUUUUCCUCGAGAAAGCUUGAUAGUUCGGCUUACCUAGAUAUACAUCGAUCUCAGCCUUCCGAUGUCCAAUUUCUUCCAACGAAGUACCCUGAGACUCGUGAGGACCUCCUUAAGCUUCCUAUAAACUUCAAAUUCCCUUAAAUACAAGAUUUCACGUAUACAUGAACAGUGGCAAAAUCGGAGCUAGGGUUUCCACGUGAAAUCGAAGGUUCCCUUACCUGAAAAUGGUAUUUUUAAACUCGUAUGGUCCUCACGAACACAAUGAUGAUCUUAAAACCUUUGAUCUACAAGGUUUGAGAGGGUUUCUGGGUUGGUCCGUAUGAAAAAGGGAGAAAGAGAGUGAGAGUCUGAGAGAGAAAGAGCACGGGAAGGAGAGAGAGAAAAGGUGGGAGUGUGUGUGUGGUCCAAAAGUCACCAAUCUAAACUAAGAGAAACACUUAGUUCUCAUUGGGUCAAAUAAUAGAGGAAUAAUGCAAGUUUGAACCCCCUUAAUAUGCAUAACACACACCACAAUACUUGGAUAUAACUGUCAUUUCAUUUCGUCGAAAAUUAAAUAUUCGGAACGGGUUGUGACAUCCCAGGCUCGACUCUGCCGUAGCACAAUAUUGUCCGUUUUGGGCCCCGACCACACCCUCACGGUUUUGUUUCUAGGAACUCACACGAGAACUUCCCAGUGGGUCACCCUUCUUGGGAUUGCUCUCGCGCGAACUCGCUUAACUUUAGAGUUCCGAUGGAACCCCAAGCCAACGAGCUCCCAAAAUGCCUCGUGCUAGGUAGAGAUAUGAAUAUACAUAUAAGGCUUACAUGAUCCUCACCCCUAGGCGAUGUGGGAUCUUACAAUCCACCCCCCUUAGGGGCCCGAUGUCCUCGUCAGCACACUUCUGGUUAAGGAUUGGCUCUAAUACCAAACUGACACACCCAGCCAGGACGCCUCGAUUUGGGUCGGGGUGUGUCAUUUAUAAUGUGCCUAUGUAUCUUUAAAAAUGUACCACUUGUUAUAUGUAAAAUUUACCAAUUUUUUAAUUUAAAAUGUAUCCAUUGUUGUUUAUAUAAAAUGUACGCAUUGUUUUCUAUAUAAAAUGUACCCAUGUUUUUAAUAUAAAAUUUCCCCAUUUUGUGUAUAAAAUGAACCCACAUUUUUUAAUUUAUAAUUAAGUGCGCCAUUGUACUCAUACAAUUAUACGGGUACAUUUUUUUUCAAACAUUUUUAUGGGUUACAUAUUAAAACAUUUUAGUUUUGGAACAAUGUUGAAAUUGUACUCCAUAGAUAAUUAUAUAUAGCCAAUGUACGGGUACAUUCUUUUAACAUGUGACAACUAUUUUAUCAUUCAUAACAAUGUUUUCUUUUGGUCAAAUUCAUAACAAUGUUGGAUACAUUCUUUUGGCACUUUUUUUAAACAUUGUUUCCAAUCGAUUGAUACAUAUAUAUGCGAACAUGUACUUAACAUUUAUUAAUAUACAUUUUCAUAAGAAAUUAUAUUGUUAUAUUGAUAUUAAUCAAUCAAAAUUUUGAAAAAAUUUCCAUAUUUUUUGUUGGCCCUUUUAUUUUAUAGCUCAUCAGAUGUGAGAUUUUAAAUACCAUAAAAUCUCAAGCUUUAUUGUUGACAUGGAAAUAUAUUAAUAUUAAUAUGUUGAGGUGUACAAAGUUAAAGGACUUUGAUCAAAAAUUGACAACCACUAAGGUUUUAAUCAAUGAGUAUUAGUGGCUAGGGACCGCAUCCAAAGUCUCUAUUUAUUUUUUCAAUAAAUUGUAUGAGACUUGUUGGAUAGUUAGACAAACACUCAUUAUAUACUUGUUUCUCAUGUUUCCAAUAUGUUCUAGUACUUUAUAAUUUAUAUAUUAUUUCUAUUUUGCAUAUAUGUGUGACAACUCGUCUCUAAUUUUACGGUUUUAUUAAUUUUAAAAGAUAUUUACAGCAAUGAGUAGUAUUAUGUCGACGUAAAUUAUCGAUUAUUGUUUUAUGAUUCUAUUCACGUUAUCUGCUCAUCGUGUGCUACAUUGGUGUUAGUACUCACUCAGGUCAGGGCUAAUCUUUCACGUGUAUGUUCACAUUGCAUAAUACGCUCACUUUGGAUCCAUUGUAGGUGCCAAUCAUGUUCUAGAUUGCUAUAGGUAAUUAGGACUCGUAUGUGAUGCACAUAGUACCAGUCUUCACGUAAUUGUAGUACUAGAGCUUAAAUCAUUAUUACACCCAGUCUUGUUCAUGUCAGAAUACCUCUGCAUGAACUCGUGUCAGCAUAUGUUUAUGAGCACUCAAUGUGAUAUGUUUAUUUCUGCGAGAUAUUAUGAUUACUGGAAGUUAUAUGCCUAUUUACGAAAUUUGUGACGAGUUGAAUUCUUGAGAUAUUGCAAGAUACGGUAAGUAUUUUCAUACUAUACGUAGUAUGAAUAUUUUGAAAACUAUUCUUGUUUUACGACGAGGGGUUAUAAUGUUUUCAAAAAUGUUUUUAUAAAACUUUAUUUUUAGGCCUACUCACCCUUGUUUUUCGCCCCUCCAGGUUUUAGUGCUGAGCUUUCGUGUCGACGAGGAUUCUUGGCAAACUUUGAUAUAUGUGAUUACCUUCGACGGAUUAAUUCUUAUCCUACUUUUACUGUACUUUACUUAUGCUCUGACAUCACGUGUGAAUUGGGUUUAUUCCCGCUCACAAACGCACUCAUACAUUUAGGUACUUUUAGGUUUAAAUUUAUUCACAUUUUCCAUAUCACUACACUUUAUGGCUUCGCCACCCUCCUGGUGUCGACUAGCACAGCUCGAUUCGGAGUCCAGGUGGACAUUCCGGGUCAGGGUGUAUCAGUUUGGUAUCUGAGCAUAAGUUUGGAUAGUAUUACUUUCAUCACUCCUUUAAAAUAAUAAAACUGUAAAAUUAGUGACGAGUUGUCACAUAUGUAUUCCAGUACAACUGCGUAUUUUUUUUAAAGUAUAAAUAGAAAUUUUUUUGUACGUUAUAUAAUAAAUUUAAUUAAAAAUUAAAAAAAAAGACCUAAGCCCCCCCCCCCAAAAAAAAAUCCCAGGCGCUAGAUUCCUGUCUACCACCCGAUUAGUGUGCCUUUUAGAACUUUAGUUGUGACCAAUACAUGAGUGUUAAAUUCCCACUUUAGGGUUUCAAAGGGUGGAAAAAAUGGUGGUAACAAAAAAACAUGGUCAGAUAGUUUUUUUAGCCCGGUCCACUAAUAAUUGUUAGGGAGCACAAGUACAAAAAAACACUUUGCUAUGCAGGUCCUUCGUCGCGCAAAGUUAAAAAAACGUUGCCCAAAAAUUAGCACAACGAAACUUUCGUCGCGCGCCAACUGUCACGCCAAGACAGUUACAACAGGGUUUGUGUGACAAAAAAGUAACAUGCCUUGCACAAAACUACUUUGCAUGACAGACAACCUACGUCGUGCAAACCCUUUCUUUUUUUUGGCAAAAAUAUUUUUUUAUUUAAUUUUUUUAUUUAUAAUUAUUGUAAUUAAAUUAUAAAUAAUAAUUAAUAAACCAAUAAAAAAUAUUUAAUUAUAAAAUAUAUGAAAAUGUACAUACAAGAUGUUCGAACAAAAAAGAAAAAACUACAAGAAGUAGUCUUCUACGUUUGAUACAUCAAGCUACUAAAUAUCGACUGGGCGAAGUGGCUGGGAGGUCGAAGGUGGAGCAAGAUCAGAUGCUGGCAUCGGGAUUUGAAGGCCAGACAUCUGUAAAGCUCGUAAGAUCAUACUCAUCUUAUCGUCUUGGGCCGAUAACUAGGCUGCAAUCUCAGCUUCCCGGAUUGCUUCUUGGGCCGCAAGCUGACCUUUUAGGGUUGCCACUUCCUCCGUCAAGGCUGACCUGUCCUAUGGUCGAUCUGGAAAAGGAGGCACCCGUCUCACGAACCCGCGCAUUCCCUGUACACCGAAAAAACUUAAAUUUAGGACAUGUAAAUCAGACCCGUCAAAUUUAGGAAAACAAAUAGAUGAUAACAAUGAAUUAUGAUACAAACUGUCAAAUCUCUACUCUUCCCAUAUACAUUUUGUCCAUAUAAUUUCCGUCACUUUAUCCGAGGCGUGCAUCAAGUACAGAUAAUUCAUAAAUCAAUGAUUUGAAACCAAAGUGAGGAAAUAAAGUGCAUGUGUUUUCCACUAUAACAAGAAAACAGCUCAAUGAAAAAUACGAACAUUGAUGAUAGAAUGUAGUAUAAAUAGAGCAUGUAUAAUAAGUUAAUAACUGAUUGCAAACACGAAAAAAUUAUGACUUACAUGGGUACCGUCACGACCAGUUAAGGGAGAGUCAUUGACACCAAAAGUCAUGGGCACAGUUGAUCACCUACACCGUCAUCACAUAACAAUAACACCAAAAACCACAGAAGGUUCCACAUUGCGGAGAGUUUUUUGGUUUUUGAUUCUCAAAAUGGUAUAUCAUAUGGUCCAGUAGUAAGCUCCAAAGACACAAGUGCAAAUGAAUUAUGCAACUACCACGUUUUUCAAUAGCUACUUUCUAAGUGUCAUCAACACCAACAGUUUUAGUUACACAUACACACACAUGAAAUGGAAAUCCUACGAUAGGGUUUAAUAUAAAUUGAGCUAUAGAACUGAUCACAUUUGGAGAAACUUGAACCACUAAAAACUGUUAUGCACUUAAUAUAAACACUGCAUUCACAAAUGAGAAAGCACACAAGUGUAGUGUGAUGUACUAAAAAAUUACUUGUAGAGUUUUCCAAAAGUGUCUCUCAAGCGAGCAACAUCAGCACCAACAACUUCAGCCACCUUCUUCCCAUCUUGAAAGAGAUGGAAUGUAGGCUGCACCAGAGUACACACAUCAAAUUACAAACCAAAUAGAUCUUGGAUUUUACCAUAUCCAAGUAAAAACAUAUAGAAUUACUAAGAAGCAAAACCAGUAAUAAUCCAUUCAAAAGACCAUCUUAAAAAGAUCAUCCCACCAGUGCCAUGAAUAAAAGAAGCUAUAUAUGAAGAACAAAAUAAAUUGGAAUAUUUUCUUUCAAACAUAAUAAGAGCAAUCAUUUACCACAGCAGAAAUAUUCAACUUGCCCAAAGUGUUUGUAAGUCCUUCCUGUAUAUAGAAUAAACAAGGUUAGGUAUGAAUUUAAAAAAUAAAAAAAAAUCAUGCUCCCAAAUUAAAAAUAAAUGAAAUUACUUUCAAACUAGCUAACCAUUACAUGCCAGAUGGCUAUAAGCCCACAAGUAAAGUUAUUGCUACAACUAACUUGAGAAUUGAAACCCGUAACGAAUAACUAGAUUUCAUAAUUAACAACACUUAACAUAUAACUAGGUUCCAUAAUAACUAGAUUCCUAUGCGAAUGCGCACCUCAUCGAUGUCAAUCUUAUAUGUUGUUGCAUGUGGGUAUUGCUCACUCAACUCUCCAAUGACUGGAGAUAUGAACCUGCCUGCACAAGAGAUCACACCAAAGUACCAAUUUUAAGUUCAAAACACAUAAUUACGCCACAUUUUGUGCCAAUGACUUCGUUGCUUAAAAGAAAACAUAUUUCGAACUUACAAGGCCCGCACCAGACUGCAGUGAAGUAGAAAAGUGCUGGCUCAGCUCCGUCUAUAUGAAAUUUAACAUAUAAAUCAGAUAAUUUGCAUAAAUGUUUGAUAAGUUUUCUCAAAACAAAACAAUUUUGAAAACCAAGAAAAAUUACCCUUAGCUUUGCUGAUUGUGCUGUUGUAUUCAUCCUCUGACUUAAUGACAACAAUGUUUGAGGAACCUGAAAUUCAAGUUAAUCAAGAAUUCAAUUUAAUGAGCUAUUCCAAAACUCAAAAUUCAAAAAUUGAAACUUUGAACAAUGGCUGAAACAAUAACAAAAAUACGGAGUACCUGAGGGCGAGGAGAGAGGUUGGAGCUGCAGAAAGCGAGGGUUUGGGGAGCGGUGGAGGGAAUUGGAGGUGAAAGGGGUUGCUGUGGGCGGUGGAGGUGGUGAGGUGGGGAUUGAAGAAGCCAGGGUUUGGAAAGAACUGGAAGGAAGGCUGUAAUGAUGAAGAAGCGCGGUGCAGAACUUGCUGUGAUUGCCGAGCAAUUGCCGUGCCAUGGCUACACCUGAAUUCCUUGCCAUUUUUCUCUCUCGCAUUGGUUCUUUAUGUAUCAAGCAAAACCCUAACUGUAAAUUCAAAAUCCAAAACCCUAAUUUAUAAAAUGCAAAAAAAUAUUCAACAAAUUGUCUUACCUUAAGAUUGGAGUGGCGAAGUGAGCACUUAGCAGCUAGUGGUGGAGGACGCGACUGGAAGGGGGAAAACGAUGGUGAUUGGCGACUUGGUGAGCGGUGACUGGUGAGAGGCCAUGCAAGAGAGCUUGGGGAGGUGGAAGGAGAGGACGACGCACCUGGUUUUUAGGGUUUCGUUCGGCUUCCGCUAUUCUGCGAGAGAGAGAGAGAGAGAGAGAGUGAGAGAGAGGGACGAGAGACCGACUGUUUUUCAAUUGCAAGGUUUGCACCUCCAUUUUGUCUAAAGUCAUUUACUUUGAGCGACACAGCCUGUGUGUCGCGCAAACGUUCUUUGCACGACACAGGUGCCCCUACGUCACGCAAAGCUAUUUUACGCGACGAAUGCACACCUUUGUCGCACAAGAUUUUGGAAAAAUUUAAACAAAGUGCAUAUUUUUUACAGUUAAACCGCCAAAAUUUUAACACAUUGCAUGACGCAUGCAUACAUUAAGACAUCGCACAAAGUUGGUUUAUGCAACGACCCAUCGUGACGUCGAGCAAGUUUUUUUUUUUUUUUAAAAUUAUUAUAACAUUUACUCAAAAUAUGACUUUACUCCCUUCAAAUUCAAUUUUUUACAUAAAACCCACAAUAAUAUGUUUUUCUAACAAAAACCUGAUCCGAACUACAAUAAUAAAAUUAAAGCUACUUAAUAAAUAUAUAUAUCAUUCAAUUUCUUAAGUGCUAUACGUACAAUAUAUAUAUAUACACACCAUUCAACUUGUGGGGAUACGCAUUCUACGAAACUAGUUUCAAUGAUCGAACCGUCAAACUUGUUUGCAUAUGCUUCGAGAUUGCAUACGCCAAAAAUCACAAAAUAUAAACAUUCAGAGAUCAAGUAACGAGACAUAACUUUUUCGACAGUUAUAAACGAAAAAUCACGAUUUAAUGAUAGUUUUAACUUCGAUUUUGAUGAUCUUUUAUAGCUACACUCUUUGAUCUUAUAUGAAUAUAUUGAAUGAAUUCGAUCUUUAAUUUAAAAUAUUUACACAAGUGGAUACCACAAAAUCUUAUGUUAUACUUAAUGAAAGUAUAAAUAAACUCUAAGUGUUGGUGAAUCUAUUGUUUUGUUGGGAUACGCAUUGUAUGAAACUAGUUUCAACGAUCCAACCAUCAAACUUCUUUGUAUAUACUUCGAGAUCGCAUACGCCAAAAAUUGAAAAAAACAAACAUUCAGAAAUCAAGUAAAGGGACAAAACUUUUCGAUGGUUAUAAACGAAAAAUCACAAUUUAACGGUAGUUUUAACUCUGAUUUUGAUGAUUUUUUAUAGCUACACUCCUUGAUCCUAUAUGAAUAGAAUGAACUAAUUCAAUCGUCAAUUUACAAUAUUUACACAAGUGGAUACAACAAAAUCUUAUGUUAUACUUAAUGAAAGUAUAAAUAAACUCCCAAGUAUUAGUGAAUCUAUUGUUUUGAUGGGAGAUGCAUUGUACAAAACUAGGUUUAAAGAUCCAACCAUCAAAUUUGUUUGUAUAUACUUCGAGAUCACAUACGCCAAAAAUCACAAAAAAAAACAAGCAUUCAGAGAUCAAGUAAUGAGACAAAACUUUUCGACGGUUAUAAACGAAAAAUCACGAUUUAACGGUAGUUUUAACUCCGAUUUUGAUGAUUUUUUUAUAGCUACACUCCUUGAUCCUAUAUGAAUACAAUGAACUGAUUCGAUUGUCAAUUUAAAAUAUUUACACAAGUGGAUACAACAAAAUCUUAUGUUAUACUUAAUGAAAGUAUAAAUAAACUUCAAGUGUUAGUAAAUUUAUUGUUUUGAUGGGAUACACAUUGUACGAUACCAGUUUCAACGAUCCAACUGUCAAACUUGUUUGUAUAUACUUCGAGAUCGCAUACGCCAAAAAUGGCAAAAAACAAACAUUCAGAGAUCAAGUAACGGGACAAAACUUUUCGACGGUUAUAAACGAAAAAUCACGAUUUAACGGUAGUUUUAACUCCUAUUUUGAUGAUUUUUUAUAGCUACACUCCUUGAUCCUAUAUGAAUACAAUGAAUGAAUUCGAUCUUCAAUUUAAAAUAUUUACACUAGUAGAUACCACAAAAUCUUAUGUUAUACUUAAUAAAAGUAUAAAAUAAACUCUAAGUGUUAGUGAAUCUAUCAUUUUAAUGGGUCUAAAUUUUGCAUUUGGUUAUUUCAUAAAGGAGGUAAAGAAACAAUCUUUUAUCGUACGUAUUAUGCAGCAUUUCACAUAAAAACUAGCAAGAGUCAAUAAAAGUCUAAAUGAACUCACCAAAGGAGUAGGUCCUAUGACAACCCUUCCUUGGUCAUUGUAUUGGGAUCCAUGGCAGGGGCAUAAGAACUUGUUCUCCGCCUUGUUAAAUGGCACGACACAACCAAUGUGAGUGCAGACGGCAUUGAUUCUGUAUGUGGCAAGAGUUUUAUCUUUCUCCACAACAAGCACAGCAAACAAAUCAAGUUAAUUUAGUACCUUUUAUUAAUAUAUUUCCCAAAUUUCUCUCUGUUAGCUUUGCACGACGCAACAAGCACAUCAAACAAUUCAAGUUAAUUUAGUACCUUCCAAUAAUAUAUUUAUUGAAACCGGUUUGUAUGGAUGUGUUGUAUAUAUGAGUUGUCAUCCUCACUUUAGCUAAGUCAUGGGCUAAAGUCACUUUCCAUAGCUUGUCAUUCACCUUACAUCAACCUUUCUUAGUUGCUUGUAAAAGUUUCUUUACUUGUAAUUUGGUUUUUACUUUUCCACUUGUUAAGGCAGAUUUUAGGGACUGUGUUUGUGUAAUUAUCCUACAAUCUAUUGUAGCUUUCUUUUGGCUCUCUAUAAGAGUUGUCUUCACUCUCUUGUAAUCUUCAUAAUGAAAUAUACCACAAAUAUUCAAACCAAAACUCAACAUGGUAUCAGAGCAGGAACCAUAGGGUCCUGACUCUGUUCAUUUUUUUUUACUUCUUCAUUUUCUCAUCAUCGAUAAAGAUAGCAGAAGAAAAUGUGUCUAGUGCAGACAGUGCCUUAUCAUCCUCUCCAAACUUAACCCAAGGGGUUAAGAACAAUCCAAAUCAACGACUCUGCUUGGUGCUCCUGAAUGAGUUCAACUACCUUCCUUGGUCAGUAGUUGUGUCACUUGCUCUAGGAGGAAGAUCGAAGCUAGGUUUUACCAACUUACGAUGCAUGGCAUGCUACUGAUCAGCUGGUCAUGUCCUGGUUACUUAACUCCAUGGAGCCAAAACUGUUUGAGUUUUUCAGCUACUCAAAGUCUUCCCUUCUCCUAUGGGAGUUUGUCAAAGACAUGUAUGGCAGCCAAAAUAACUCAGUUCGCAUCUUUCAACUGAAGAAGAAUAUGGCUAGUUUAAAGCAAGGUGAUCACUCAUUUGUUCAACACCUUGGAAGUAUGAAAUCCAUGUGAACUCGAUAUGUAUCAUUCACACACGACUGAUUACGAUGUGCUACUGAAGAGGGAUGAUGAAGACAAGGUGUUUCAACUCUUAGCAAGCUUGGGAGCAGAGUAUGAAGACAUGCGUAGUCACUUGUUAAUGACUCAAGAGCUGCCCUCCUUUACCAGUGUGUGUCAUGCAGUCCAGAGAGAGGAAACUCAACGAAGAGUGAUGAACGUUGAGCCCAAAUCCAACUCUGAAGCUAGGGUUUUCACGACAAAUCACAAAGUAACUGGUGAUAGGUUGCUUGGCAAGAAAGCAGACUGGAAAUGGUCUUAUUGCAACAUGAAGGGACAUUUGAGAGAAAAAUGUUGGAUUCUUCAUCCGGAGUUAAAGCCGAAGUUUGAUAGGAAAGGCAGGAUGAUCAAAGAUGAGAAGGGUGUAGACACUCCAAAAGCAUUUCAUUCAGCUUGUUCCUCAACUGAUGGGAUGGCCAAUUUCUCAACAAAUCAUGUGUCCUUGAUCAACCAGUUUGCUGCUAUUCUUCAAAAGAAGCAAGGAAACACUGAACCUGAUGAAAUGACACUUGAAAACCCUACUACAAUGCUAGGAAAAUUUGCUGGAUUCUUGGCUGACUUGGAGAACACAUCGAAAGGCAAUAUUCCAAGUAUUAUUAGUGCCAUUUCCACUGCUCUUAAUGCAAAUGUUACACAUGAUUUUUGGAUUAUUGAUUCUGGUGCCACUGAUCAUAUAACUAAUAACCCUUUAGUCUACACGAUUUUCAAAUAACUAUUGAUCCAAUUCAUGUAUCUAUUGCAAAUGGGAAAGGAGAACCUAUUCUAGGAAAAGGAAAGAUUAGAUUGCUAAGUGAGCAUACUGAUUCCACUGCUCUCUAUGUACUUUUCUUUCCUUUUCAACUUUUGUCAAUAGGAAAAAUCACAAAAACCUUAGUCUAUCUUGCCAUAUUUUCCCCUCACAAUGUUGUGUUUCAGGAUCGAGUUACUCAGAAGAAGAUUGGUGAAGGGUUCUUCUUGAAUGGACUCUACCAUCUCUCAAAUAAGUCCAAUUUUGUCAAAAAGCUCAAUGUCAUCUUAAGUCAAGUUCAGGAACAUCAACUCUGGCAUCAAUACCUUGCCCAUCCCUUAGAACAUGUGAUGAUCAAGUUGUUUCCCUUUUUUUGCAAAAACACAACUUGUCAAAUGUCAAUAGCCACUAGACUUCCUUUUGUUUCCUCUAAUUCUAGAACUAGUAAACAUUUUGAGCUUGUUCACUCUGAUAUUUGAGGUCCUUCUCAUGUAGAAUCCUUUGAUGGGUAUAUUUAUUAUGUUACAUUUAUUGAUGACUAUUCUAGAGUAACCUGGUUGUAUCUUUUAAAACUUAAAAGUGAUUUGUUUGAUGUUUUUAAGGACUUUCACAACCUAAUCACCAAUCAAUUUUCGUCUAAGUUAUAUAUGUUAAGAUCAGAUAAUGGUAUCGAGUACACUUCCAAUAACAUGAGUAAUUACUUGAGCAAUCAUGGCAUUUUGCAUCAAACUAGCUGUGUUGGUACACCACAACAAAAUUAUGUGGCAGAGAGAAAGAAUCGAGACUUAUUGGAGAAGACUCGAUCACUUAUAAUCCAAACGAAUGUUCCUAAGAAAUUUUAGUCUCAAGCCCUACUCACUGCCACGUACAACAUUAAUAGACUGCCAACUCAGGUGUUGAAUACUAAAUCUCCUUUCGAAGUCAUGAAAGGCAGUCCUAUAAACUUGUCUCACCUCAGGACGUUUGGUUGUACUUGUUAUGUGCACAUUCAAGCUCUCUAUCGUGACAAACUUGUGUUGGAAAUAUGCCCUGAAAGUCAAUCUUUGGAAGAAACCUUUCAGGACAAUGAAUGGAUGUAUAGAUGACUCUUAUACAUCAAAUGGCAAAGAUACUAAUUAGGACUAUCUCUAUAAACGAUAUAUGUCCUAAAUAGUGAAUCCAUGGACAAUAGAUCGAUUGAAGAAGUAAUCUAAUGAUGUUAGACUACAGAGACCUUCUUCACAUAACCAUCAUGUCCAAAAGGUUCCUGGUCAUAGGAUUGUUGGAGGGAUACUGACAAUGCAUAGACCGGUACAUACUAUGUCCGCUUCAAUUGGAAGGAUGGAAAGUCUCAUCCCAUUCGUGUAGUGACACUAAGACAAGUAUGUAGGUGCUCAUUAAGGGAAUGAGUUCACUGAACACAAUCGAACGAGAGUACUUGCAUGGAGGUCUACUCACAUGUCAGGCAAGUAACUCUAAUUGUUGGAAUAAUGUAAGUAGUCCUUUGACCUGAGGCAUCAUCGUUGUCUUGUGGUUAAGUACUUGAUCUUUGAUUAUGUCAAAGUCACUCCAUUCGCGGGUGUCCACGACAUAGUUAGGGUUAAGCCACUUAGUCAUGAAGGCAAGUGAAUGCGCAACAAGGAAUCUCUAAUCCUCAUUAAGAAAGGAAGAAUACUCUAAGAUAUGAUUCGGGAAUCUUCGGCCAAAGUAUCGAGCAUAAUAAAGGAAAGCGUUCCUAUACGACUCAAUUGAAUCAUAUAAGAAGGAAUAAUCACAUUAGGGGUUUGACAUAAUAUAUCCAUACCCUAGUGAUGUGAUUGAGAGUAUUGUUUUAGAGAAGGAUCGAAUUACAUUGUAAUUCCAACUGAAUAGGUUCUCCGAACAACUUCUACAUUAGCUUGGGUAGCCAUGAUAUAUCGUUAGAUGUCACUCAUGGCUUGUGAGUUCUUCUAGAUGAUUAAAUGUAAUCAUCAAAGAAGAAGGUGAAUUAAAAGUAGGCUUUAAUUCACUAAGUGAUUGGAUUAAAUAUAAUCAAUUGGAUUGGUUCCAAUCACCUUAAAAGUAGGUUUUAAUUCACUAAGUGAUUGGAUUAAAUAUAAUCAAUUGGAUUGGUGCCAAUCACCUCACUGCCUUGCUAAUUAAAACCUAAAACGAUUGUUCACCAAUACACUCUUGUAGUGAGUAAUUACUGGAUGAUGGAAAUAAUUAAUUAGAUUAAUUAAGUGUUGUGAUUAAUUAGAAAGUCUAAAGAAAUCAUAAAAGCGAUAUAAGAUCGUUUUGGGCUUAAAGAAACGUUCGGGUUUAAUUGGGCCCAUUGGGCCUAAACCCAUUGGGCUUUUAUUCAAGCAUUGGAUGACUUGAAAUAAAUAAAAGCCCAAAGCCCAAACAACACAAAGGGGGCCGGCCAAAGGAGGGAUAGAAAGGUCAAAUGUUGACUUGUUUCUUUUUGGCUAUAAAAGGAACUUUAUAGCAAAUGUUUCAUUAGGGUUUUUGGGUGUUCAAAACAACUAAAGAGAAAAAAGAAAAUAACUCUUUCUUCCACACCAAAGGCCGGCCACCAUAGGGAGAUUUUAGCUAAUCAUCUUUUUCUCCCUUUGGUUAUUCCUUUAUCCUUCUCAUUACACUAGUGGGUGAGGAUCUUUAGAGGUUUUCAAUUUUGGAAACUUGAAAAGAACCUAGGAGCACUCAUUCUAAACAAAGUGGAUGAGGCAAGGAAGGAGUGUCACGCCCCGGACCUGGGGUCGGUAGUAAAAAAACUCGAUCCCGAGUCCGAAACGCGAGUUAAAAGCUAAAUAAAUAAAAGGAAAUUGACACGGGUUGGAAAAUUAAACUCCUCUUAUAAAAACAAAUCCAGAAUUCUUUACAAAGCUAAAAAUAAAUAAAUACAAUUCUAGCCUCACAUCUAAUUCGAUCUCAUCCCGUCUACUCUUUUGACAGUUUAGUUAGUAAACCUGCAUAACAAUAGAGGGGUGAGCUUCAACAGCUCAGUAGGGACAUAACCUUAUCACAGUAAAUUGACAAUAUUAAAUUAAGUGUAAUAAAAUCAUGUAAUCAAGUACCAAAUCAUUAUCAUCAACAAUGCAUGAGUGCAAUACAAUACUCUUCAUCUCUACCCGUUAAUUCAUAUAAUAAAACACGCGGACCUGCACGUCCCAUACCGUGCAUUUUACCUCUGCAGUGGUGGUUCGAAUAUUUUAAUAUACAAAUUAACCCCAUGUAACUCAAUCAUCCCAAUUUCCCCUUUUGUUAGUCAUCUUGCCAAAACCCUUCGUCGCCAGUCCCGAAUUACCCUUAAAGAAUCUGUGCACUGUGGGCUCACCUGAGACCUGGUACCUGCUAAGAGUUUGGCUCAACUACACAAAAGAUUAUUUCCAACUACCCUCAUUUCCAGAAUUCCUUCCUCAACACCAAAACUCCUACCACAUGACCAAUUAUGAAUGAUUAACAUAUACCACAGUAUAUUCUCAACCAAUAGCAUUUCAUCAAUAAUUCCAUAACCAAUAACAAGUAAACACGCAGGGGCAUUAUUUAUCCAAUUAGCAAGCCAAAUCACAUUAAUCAACCAAGAAGAUCGAUAAUAAUAAUAUAAUGUUUCACGAAAUUUAAUAAAGUCAAUCUCCGUAAAGGUCCGCCGUAUUUCCCCUACCUGGAGUCCAAAGCAAACAAGCAGUGUCCCUUACCAACACCUUGAUUACACACAACCGUCGCGGUAACUGGAGUUCCUAAUCCAACAAUAAAAAUAUAUCACUAUAUAAUCCAUUAUAUAGCACCAAAUGUAAAAUCCUAUAUUUUGGAAUUCCCAAGUUAGGCUUAGCAUCUCUUAUUCCAAUUUGGAUCUUCAGAUUUAUAUAAUUUCACUUAAGUACUCAAAUCUUUAAAAAUAAGCUUCCUGUCCCUAACCUGUACAGCAAGUACAAUCUGUCCGAAAAAAGUUCCCAGAAUUAUAGUUUACCCCAAACUUUCGGGUAAUUACAAAACUGUCCUAAAUGUUCAGAGAACUGUAAAAUGGCCCCAAAUCUGAAACUCAUCUUUCAAGUUGGUCCCUACUGCAGAAACAGAAACAGUACAGCCGACCAUGUUUCCAAAUUCAUGUUGCUCCUCUUUCAGUCCAAAAUAUUUCCAACUUCAAUUCAAAUACUCAUAUUUAUACGAUUCAAUUACUUCAAAGUAGGCCAUCAUUCCUUUUAAUUUAGUCGAAUAAUAUCAAUACCCCAAAUCCACAAACUUGAACAUGGAUGGGGUUUAACAGCAACUAACCCAUAGGCAAAUUUAUCUCAAUUCAUUCAAUUAAGCUUCCAAUACGCUUAAGCCAUCACGAAUAACACAUGAAUUCGAAAUAUUACGCUGUGUAGUAAUAAAUCCAAAAAUGGCAACUUCCAAAAUCUGUAGUAAAUCCAUAAAUUAGUACCUGAGAUUUGUAGUACUCUUCCCCAUAAAUUCGUAAGCGAAAACGGAAUCAAAUCCGGACUUCCAAAUCAAAAUUUAUGAGGAAAACGGUAUUUGAUUUGGACAAUGAGAUGAAGCUCCUUGCUUCCUUCCUCUCUGCAUCUUUCUGCGAAGAGAAGAAGAAAUAUGAAGCCUUAGUUCCAUCUGAAAUGAUCCACCGCUUCUUCUCCUUUUAUUUAUCUCUUUUGGUGCAAUGGUAGCUUUCCAAGUGGCAACACAAAGACUUAUGAUUUCUCUUUAAUUUAUCAUAUUUGACAUGUGCCAUCAUAUGAUGAUAACACCACCAGCAUGUCAUCCAAAUGCUGGCUUCUCCAGCAGCUAGCACUUGGCAAUCUUGCCACUCGUUGGCUGUCAUGUGGUGUUCUAACAUUUGUCAGGCUUGGACAUUCUAUCAAAAUUUCAUUAAAGUCCCGAAAACUAAUCCGAAAAAUGAUACGAACUCGAAAUAACGUUUACUACCUUCAUAUGAAAACCUUUUUGAUAAAUAAGCACAACAUAUUUUUUUUUUUCCAAAUAUUUCUCUUUUUUAAUAAUAAAUUAUUGGGAUAUUACAAGGAGGCUAGGCUCAAGGAGUUCAAGGAGCAAAGGGCUUGGAGGUGGUCCAUCCUUGGUCUAAGAUCUAGAUCAAGAGGUAUAAAACUACUCCUAAACUUUGUUCUUAUAUAAGUUUGGUUUUGAUGCAUCUUACAUAAACCUAUGCAUCUUGAAGGGGAUUUGCAUGACUAUUGCUUUGAUAUUAUUUGAUAACAUGCUUCCGUUGCUUUCGUAUAUAAAUUUUGAAUUGUAUAUGCAUGCUAGUCAUUAGAAAUUCCGCAUGAAUCUCAUAGAAUUCCUUUCAACUUGACCCUCGAGCUGUCAAAUGUAUGUUUAUGGGAUACGCCAGUUCUUAAAAGGGUUAUAAAGUGUACAACCCUAACAUGGGGAAACUGGCAGUCUUUAGAGAUGUGCGAUUUGAUGAAUAUUCACCUUAUUUCCACAAAGGGUUGGAGACUAAUGCUAAUAUGGAAGAUCUUAUGGACCUAUUUCCACUACCUAUUCCAGCAGAAAUUCAUGAAGCCACUCAUUCUCAUAUCAUCACUGAGAAUUCUCAACUCACUGAGAGUGUAAUUAAUGCAGUGCCAAGCUCCUCUGGACCAUCAGAAGCUCAACCAAAUCAGCAAGCUAUAAGUGCACCUAGAAGAAACCCUACACGAGAUAGACAUCAACCAGUGAGGUUACAAGAGUAUGUUACUUACACUGCAAGGCAUCCUAUCUCUGCAGCCAUUUCUUAUCAUAGAUUCUCAUCUUCCCAUACUUCUUUCCUUAACAAAUUGUCCUAUACUUUCGAACCAAGGAAUUUUCAUGAACCCACAUGCAUGCCUGAGUGGCAAGAUGCUAUGACUAAAAAGCUUUAAGCUCUGAAUGACAACUAAACAUGGAGUGUGGUGGACCUUCCAAAUGGCAAGAAGUUCGUGGGAAAUAGGUGGAUAUAUAAGACCAAAUUCAACUCUAAUGGAAGCAUUGAAAAACACAAGGCACGAUUAGUAGUUCAAGGCUUUACUCAAACCUAUGGGAUUGACUAUAAGGAGACCAUUGCUCCUGUUGCCAAAAUGAACACAGUGAGGGUAUUGUUGUAUGUGGCAGUCAAUAAUGCAUGACCUUUAUUCCAAAUGGAUGUGAAGAAUGCAUUUCUUCAUGGGGAUCUUGAAGAAGAAGUGUACAUGAAGUUGCCUUCUGGUCAUCCAAGAGCAAAGGAACCCAACAAGGUCUAUAGACUUCAUAAAGCCAUAUAUGGUCUCAAACAGUCCCCUUGAGCUUGGUAUUCGAAGCUUAGUUCAGUCCUUGAAGCUGUAAGGUUCAAAAUGAGUCAUGCUAACUCUUCUUUGUUUGUUCGAAGUGGUAUUGCUGGCAAAUUGGUUGUGCUUAUAUAUGUUGAUGACCUAAUUAUUACAGGUGACAAUAUAAGUGAAAUCAAGGCGCUUAAGCAGCCACUUCACCAAAAAUUUGCCAUUAAAGACUUGGGGCCCUUGAAAUACUUUCUUGGAAUUGAGGUACAACCUUUUCAAAGGGAUUGUUCUUGAAUCAAAGAAAGUAUGUUCUCGAUCUUCUAGAUGAAGCUAACAUGAUGGAAUGUAAACCAGCUUGAACACCUCUAGCUAGCAAACUUUAGUGGCAUGAAAAAGGUGAACCUCUCUCGGACCCUAGUGUUUAUCAGCGAAUGGUUGGGAAACUUAUUUAUCUCAUCAUUACUAGGCCUGAUAUCUCAUAUUCAGUUAGCCUAGCCAGUCAGUUCAUGCACUCUCUUACUUUAGUUCACUGGGAAAUCGUCAAGAGAAUACUUCGAUAUCUCAAAGGCUCAGUAGGAAGGGGAUAAUUAUGAAGAACAAUGGAUCAACUCACAUCUUGGCCUACACAAAUGCUGACUGGGCUGGAAAUGCCCUUGAUCGAAAUCCAUAACAGGUUUUUGCACAUUUGUUGGAGGGAACCUUGUCACUUGGAAGAGCAAGAAAUAAACUAUUAUUGCUCGAUCUAGUGCCGAAGCUGAGUAUAGGGCUAUGACAGCAACAGCCUGUGAACUCAUAUGGUUGAAAGGUCUUCUUUCCGAGCUCGGAUUCACAAGCAUGACACCUAUGUCCUUGUAUUGUGAUAACCAAGCUGCCAUGCACAUUGCCUCCAAUCUAGUAUUCCAUGAAAUGACCAAACAUAUUGGAGUUGACUGCCAUUGUAUUCGUGCUCAAGUUCAAUCCAAGGUGAUAGACACCAUGUUCACACGCAGCCACGAUCAACUUGCUGAUUUAUUCACAAAAGCACUAGACUCUACUCAGUUUCAGCGUUUGUUGUGCAAGCUUUGAUCAAUCAAUCCCCUUGAUCCAGCUUGAGGGGGUGUAUUGAAACCGGUUUGUAUGGAUGGGUUAUAUGUAUAAGUUGUCAUCCUCACUUUAGCUAAGUCAUGGGCUAAAGUCACUUUCCAUAGCUUGUCAUUCACCAGUCACUUUCCAUAGCUUGUCAUUCACCUUACAUCAACCUUUCUUAGUUGCUUGUAAAAGCUUCUUUACUUGUAAUUUGGUUUUUGCUUUUCCACUUGUUAGGGCAUAUUUUAGGGAUUAUUUUUAUGUAAUUAUCCUACAAUCUAUUGUAGCUUUCUUUUGGCUCUAUAAGAGUAAGAGUUGCCUUCACUCUCUUGUAAUCUUCAUAAUGAAAUAUACAACAAAUAUUGAAACCAAAACUCAACAAUAUUUCCCAAAUUUCUCUCCGUUAGCUUUGCGCGACGCCACCUCCGUCGCACAAAACUAUUUUGCACAAUAGAGGGGUACCUACGUCGUGCAAAGUUGAGAAAAAAGUGGUAAGGUAUUCUUGCUUUGGCGUCAAAAUCUUGCACGACACACAAGAGGUGUCACGCAAACGGCGUUUACGCAAAGGCCGUUUGUACGACGUUUUGUGUUUAGCGUUGCGCAAACAUACUUUGCGCGACGAAAUUUGCUCCAUCGCGUAAACAUGUUUUUGUUCUAGUGGAGAAACACUUCAAAACAAACUGUGGACAUGAAAACUUUAAAUGUCAAAUGCUGCCACGAUAAUAACACUUGGAACUAGGUUUUUUUUGUUUUCCUUUAAAAUGUUGCUUUAAAUAUAAUUUUCUUUUCCAUGUCUAUUUAGAGAAGAUGAUGAAAGAAUUUCAUUCAUAUAUACGGAAACUCAAACGUUAGGAAAUUAGACCAUAAAGUAUUUGUGUAAUUUCCAUGUUUGGUUUACAGUAAUGAGAAUACAAAACUUGUUCACUUACUUUUAUUAGGGUAAAUUGGACAAAAACAAUGCAUAAAAGUUUUCCCAACGUAAGUAAGGAAAAUGUAUGAAAUUCCCUCUGCAUGUGAAGUUCAUACUCAUUUGACAAGUAUCACAUUCCCAACAAUAUGUUUACAAAACAUCGGAAUGGUAUCUCAUACUCCUUACCAUAAUCCGAAUUUACAAAUCGCAAAUCAAACGAUAGUUUAAGUAUUUUUUUUUUCUAUAAAAUGGAGCUCUCGGAACUUAUUUGUGAAAAGCCGUCCCAUACUUAAUCGAAUACUAAUCAAGUAGUACCAAUUACAUGUUUUUUUUUUCUUUCAUUGAAGGGAAUCGAUACUCAUUAUAUUGCAAGCUCACUUUCUUUCACUAUUUACUAUAAGUCUGUAACCCAAGGGUUUUUGUUCUAGAUAUUACAUGCAUGUUCAAACGACUGCUAGAUUUCAAUGUUAACAUCAGACAGUCUAUUGGAUUACCAAACACAUGCAUUAAUAUCUUUGAAAUGAGAGGUUUUACAGGUUAAAGUUCAGCAUCCACACAGAUCAGAUAAUUAAUGAUGUUGGUUCGAUCAGGUAGUAUUGGAUCUUAGGUUUUUUCUCUCGUUUGGUCCCGAAAAGGAAAACAAAAACCUUUUUCACACAAAUACCAGAAUUCUAUAGUCUCUAGGAAAAUCAUAGCUGGAGCACUCUCAUCAUAUAUGAAUAUCGCAGAUGUGAUACAUAAGCCCCUACGUACUCUCAAAGAUAGGAAUAUAUAUAUAAAUUUUUAUUAUAACCCAUUAUUUCCGUUUUGUCACCUUGUCGCAAAAUUUGUCACGUUUUGUUGGCAUUGCAUAUGUUCUCACAAAUGUGAUACGACCGCCAAUUAAAGUCAAUGUAGUGCGUAUAUGUUUUUGUUUUAUUUGGCUGAAAAUUAUGCAUAUUGAUAUAGAGAAUUGUUAUUAGCAUGCAGUUAACCGAAUUAAUCUGCAUAUAUUUAAUUUUAUUUUCUUAAUUAUAAUUAAUACGUGUAACAAUAUAAAUUGUUAGUUAUUUACAAGUUAUCGUGUUUCCACCACAUGAAAACAAAACCUGAUUAGUUUAAGUGUCCCUUUGGAGAACAAUUGAGGGGUACCAUUUGGAGAAGGCAGCAAUUACUACUUUGGUGCUCUCCUUGGGCUGCCUCAUUUGUACUUUUUUUUUAGCAAUCACUCAUAUUAGUACUAUGUUAUGUAGCUUUUGGGGAAGAAAUGAUGCAGCCCAAGGAGAGCACCAAAGUAGUAAUUGCUGACCCAAACCACAUGAAAUGAAGCCAUACCAACUCAUAUUAGUACUAUGUUAUGUAGCUUAUGGCUUCACACAAACCGAGAACUGACCCAAACCAACUCGCCACUGUUGAUUAACCGACUUGAUUGGUUUUAAACCCAACUUGAUCGGUUUCGGUUUGCAAUUUUGACACAACCGACUAGGUCAGUUUGGUUUUGGUUUUAGCCCAAAACCGACCCAAACUAACCCACACCCACCCCUAGGCCAAACUUAUGAAUUUCCCAUCACAUACUUGAAGAAAAGAGGCAUCCAUAGUUUGGUUAUUCUCCAUUUGUGUAUUAAUAUAAUCAAAGUCUUACCAUUCUCUUGUUUUGUAAAAACCUCAUUAUUAAAAAAUUAGACACAUGUACAACAGGGCCGGCCCUGGCCCAGGGCUAGCAGGGCAACCGUCCGGGGCCUUAAAAACUUGAGGGGCACCAAAAAUUGAUAGGGUAGUAUAUUCAUAUAUAUAUAUAUAUAUUUCCAUAAGCAUAUAAAUUUUGAAACCUUGGUUAAAUCUACAAGUACCUAAGGCAGAAGCGGUGGUGUUUCACUGCUUACUUAACAAGACGGUCGUGUUCGAAACCCGAUGUGUUCAUUUGUUUUCCAAUUUUUUACGAUAUUCUGUUUGGGAUCAAUGCAAGGCACCUUAUGCUUUUCCUUUCAUGCCUUUCCCCUCACUAUUUAACAUCGGGAUGUAAUUUGUACAACAAACUAAAUAGUUAACUUAAUGCUAAGAACUCAUUAAAAUACAAAUAAUUAAUAAAACAAUAAAAUAGAAAUAUGGUGCCCAACACCUAUUAAUGUUCUUCCUCAACCCUUUUGUUGUCUCUUUUAACUUUCCUGGGCAGCGGCUAUAAGCCAUGCCUCUCAAUUUCUCUUAUUUUAUUUAUAAAGAAAUAUAAUUAUAAACAUGAAAAUUUCCUGAAAUGAAGGAGACAAGAACACGUGUACAAAAUAAUAUUUUGUAUUUGAUGAUUUUGGGUUACAAUCUCUCUCAAAUAUGAUCAUCUGAUUCGAUCUCCGUAAGGUGUGUAUUUGUGGAUGUGCAUUGAUCCAGGGGCCAUCGAGGCUUGAUCUUGGAUGAACGGUUGAAAGUUUCUUCAAGGGCCGUUGAGGCUUGAUCUUGAAUGACAGUGAUGAACGGAUCUUCAAGGGCGUUUGAGGCUUGAUCUUGAUGAACAGUUGAUGGAUGGAUCUUCAAGGGCUUUUGGGCUUGAUCUUGAAUAAUGGUGAUGAACGGACCUUCAAGGGCUUUUGGGUUUUGAUCUUGAAGGACGGUUAGAUGUGUGGAUUUGUCGACGUUGUUGAUCCAAAGAGCCGUUGGGGCUUGAUCUUAGGAUGAACAGAUGAUGAACGAUGAACACUUUCUUCAAGGGCCGUCAGGGCUUGAUCUUGAAUUGGUGGAAGUUCUUCAAAGGGACGUUGGGGCUUGAUCUUGAAGGUUGGGUUGACGAAGAACGAAGAGAGCUUUCUUGAUCCUUCGGGAUUUGCUUGGGAGCUUUGGAGUUUCAAAGUUUCAAGGUUUUGGUGUGAGGUGAAUUGGUUAUGAAUUCGUUCUUUUUCUCCCUUCAAAUGAAUGAAUUAGCCUUCUAUUUAUAGAAAUUUCCAAGGCCUAAUUUUGAAUAUAAUAUUCCAGAUGAAAUAAGUCGUUUCUGCCAGGUGUUGACAUGUGUCCUAUUUGAUGACUUUUCCGACUCUUUUCGAUUUUUCGUUUAGUCACACGCUACGUGUAAAAUUUAUGUGACACGUGAGCGUUGAAAUUGUAACUAUUGGUCAACAUUUAUUUCACCGAAAUUUCGAUGUCUACAAAUGCCCCCACUUCAAGGCGUGUCGUAUACAUGUGCUUGUCGCGUGUAGGAGAUGCGUUUUGAAGUCCCUUAAUGUAGAUGUCGACCCAAGGGCCAUCGAGGCUUGAUCUUGAAUUGGGCUGGAGAUUUCUUCAAGGGCCGUUAAGGCUUAAUCUUAAAUUGGGCUUGAGAUUUCUUCAAGGGCUGUUGAGGCUUGAUCUUGAAGGUUGAAAUUGGACCACAAGGAACUUCAUGUGGUAGAUGAUCUUUGGCUUUUAGUGGAUGAAUUGGCACGUAUUUGUUUUUGUGCUUGUUGACUUUCCACAACUUUGAUCUUGAACUGGGUUGCAAGAUUUUCUGGAUUCCUCCAAUUGUUGACUUUCCACAGCUUAUUCUUGAACUAGAUUUGAUUCAAUGGUGGUGGACGCUUGAUCUUGAAUUAGACUUGUGAUUUCCUUAAGGGCCGUCGAGGCUUGAUCUUGAAUUUAGCUGGAGAUUUCUUCAAGGGCCGUUGAGGCUUGAUUCUUGACGGUUGACUCGAACACAUGGCAAGCAGGCACGAGGUGAAGGUGACGACUUGUUGCUUUGUUUAAUCUUUCUAAUUCACACCUGAGCAGUUUGGUCAACGGUAUGAUCUUCAAGAUUGAUGGGCUCUUCUUCCAGUUGGUGACUUGAUCUUUAAGGAUUUGAUUCAAGGGUGGUGAAUCGGCACGUGCAGCCCACAACGCCUAGCGAGUCGACCCAAGAAUUUGAGGGUCAAAACGAGUCCUCCACCCAGAGUGAUUGCAACCCUGAUGAUAUGAGAUACUUUUGAUUUUGAAGAAGUAGCGGAUGAAUCGGCACGUGCUUUGUUGUGCUUGUCUCCACAUGCUUCAAUGUAUCAUUUUCCCUUGCCUUAUCUAUUCUUCUGGCAGAAUGUGGCAUCUUUUCGAGUUCCUCAGCUCAGACUCAUUCUGCUGAGUUGACUGUGCAGGCUGCAUUCUUCUCUGCUUGUUUCUUCUGCACGUUGUCUCCACAUGUUGCAAGGUAUCAUUUUCACUUGCCUUAUCUGUUCUCCAGGCAGAUGUGGCAGCUUCUUUGGAAGUACAACAACAGUGGAAGACGAGUACUCGAGCAAAACCAUGUAAGCAACCAGACAAAGGUUCCAGGUAGUCGGCAACCAUUGAGUGAUUGAUUAAUAUGGCUUCACAUGCUCUUUUUUUUCAUCAGAAAUCUUCGACAAUUUGUCUGUAAUUUUUGCCAAGCUGAGUGUGCAUGUGACAGGUGUUGACGAGGCUGAAAAAGAUUGGCGCCUCUUCGAUAUCUGGGAUCGACGCUUCGACAAACUGCCCGUGAUUUCCGCAAAGCUGAGUGUGCAUGUGACAGAUACUGACACGUCUGGAAAAGCAGAUGCCUUUCCGAUUUCUGAGCUUACCUCUUCAAGUUCUAAGCUCCGUCGAGUGCAGAGGUUGCAUGUGACAAGUGCGGACAAAUCUGGAAAUGAAGAUUAGCCCGUGGUUUCUGAGCAAGCCCAGCUUUUGAGAAAGCUAGCACCUCUUCGAUUUUUGAAUUGGCCUCUUCGAAUUCUGAGCUUGCCUUUUCGAACUCUGAAAUCCCGUCGAGUGCUGAUUUUUAUAGAGGCACGCAGUUCGUUUCAAGCACACUUGAAUUUUCGCUUAUAGAAACUCCCUUCUUGCACUUCUAAGAUCUUGAUUUGUCCGACCUCUUCUUUCUUCAACACCUUUGAAAAUGUCUGGCCCUUCUGACCGUCGUUUUGACUUGAACCUUGGUGAAGAGGCAGUCCCACCUUCUCUAGACAACAUAUGGCGCCUAUCCUUCAUAUCCCCUACUGGUCCUCUUACCGUUGGGGAUUCGGUGAUGAAGAAUGAUAUGACCGCUGCAGUGGUGGCCCGGAACCUUGUCACUCCCAAAGAUAACAGACUGUUUUCCAAACGGUGUGAUGUGUUGACUGUUAAGGAUUAUCUGGCUCUCAGUGUGCAGUGUGCAGGUUCUGUGUCUAAUAUGGCCCAACGUCUAUUUGCUCGAACCUGUCAAGUUGAAUCAUUGAAGGCUGAAGUGAUGAGUCUCAAACAAGAGAUUAGAGGGCUCAAGCAUGAGAAUAAACAGUUGCACAGGCUCGCACAUAACUAUGCUACAAACAUGAAGAUGAAGAUGGACCAGAUGCAGGAAUCUGAUGGUCAGAUUUUACUUGAUCAUCAGAGGUUUAUGGGUUUGUUCCAACAGCAUUUGCCUUCGUCUUCUAGGGCUGUACCGCGUAAUGAAGCUCCAAAUGAUCAACCUUCGGUGCCUCCUCCUCCUGGGGUUCUGCCUAGUAUUGAGGCUCUAAAUAAUCACCCUCUGGUGCCUCCACCUUCUGGAGCUCCGCCGAGUACUGAGACGCCACCUGAGCAAUGAAGACUCUCUCCCGUUUAUUUGCACAUUGUUUUUGUAAUUUUUAUUUUAUUUUAUUUUAUUUCAUGUAAAUGUACGUUUCUGUAAAUUUUUUUUAGAGAAAUCAAUAAAUGAGCUUUGUUUCACUCAGUGUACAUUUUUUUUUCACAUGGUGUCAAAAGCACCAAAGGACUCUAUUUUUUUUCACAUGGUGUCGUCCACCAUCAUUUUUUUAUUAUUUUUUAUUUUUUAUUUUUUUUUGCUUUCAGUGGUGCUCACAGCCACCACCAUCAUGAACCUUUCAACUUUAUUUUAUUUUAUAUUAUUAUAUAUAUAUAUUUUUUUUCUUUUCCGUCUGCUUUUGGUGCCAGAUGCACCAUGUCUCCUCUUUUCCAUUUUUUAUAUUAUAAUUUUUCCAUGCACACAUACAUACAUACGUACAUACAUAUAUACAUAUAUAUAUAUAUAUAUAUAUAUAUAUAUAGGGUGCAGGAUAGGAGCUUGGAGGAGGAAGAAGGUGGAGCACGGAGGAGGAGGAAGAUGACUUGCUUGCUGCCUGCAGCAGGUCCCAGAUGGACAGCGGCGACUGAGUGUUUGGGCUUCCGUGGCUCAAGCUCUGUCCACAACCCCAACCACUGCGUAGAGUGUUGACUGGGGAGAACCAGAAGCGACCCAAUCCUUUGGCUUCUCGAAGGCGAGCUGGGAGAGGUAUAACGACUAUGGUAAAGGAAGAUUGAGUACUGCGGCUGACGUCCUGGAGAAGCGUGGGUGAUUCGAGCAUCAAGCCCAACUCGAAAACCGACAGCGGGGAGCAAAAACGAAGGUGAAGCAGCAGCCUAUUCAUCCCUUUACCACGGGAGAUCAAACUCUGAGCCACCUCAAACAAUCCCUUACUGGCAGCAUAAUGAAGGGCAGGUCAACCGCCGUCCGUCUUCAUUCGUGCUGUUUAUCACACUUGUUAAUUCAUCAGCAUCAAACAUCAGCUUCACUACCUCGGAGCGACCUGAAGAGACAGCAACGCAGAGGAGAGAGAGAAGGCGGAAGGGUAGAGAUAUCUGACUGAUCCCCGGAGAGCCUGAGCUUUUUCCUGCACGCCUCACCAUCUUCCACUUAUUUUUUGCUUCUUUUGCUGUUGACGUUUAGAUUCAUUACUUCUCUUCUUAUCAGCUUUGGAUCGCUUUAAUUGAUGAACCCUUUUCUGUAGUGGAUCAAAGGGGUAGUUAGCCUCAAGCUUGAACUCUUGAACGCACCUUAUUACGGCUUUCAGUGCAGCAAGCUCUUUUGCAUUAACAUCAUCAUGUGCACCAGUACCAUCUCGUGUGCUGUCUCAAGGUUGCGGAAAUGCUCUUCAAUUUCUUUCCACCGAACCCGGUCCUCAGAAGUAUCAUUGGGUGCAUUUAGUUCCUAGUAAUGCGUCACCAAGCUGAUCGAUUAGAGAGCUUGGUGCAUCACUUUCCAGAACUUGUUUCACAUCAACCAUGGUUAAUGCAAAUCUACACCUGAGAAUGAUUCACACAGAGUGCCUAAACAGGUCUGAGACGGAGAGGAAGCGAGCUCACAGGUUGCGACUCUUGGAAUUGCAAGUGGAAUUUGAUCGAACGCUUGGCGUGCAUAGUCAAGGUUGAAGAAGGAGGUCCACUUACUCCGGGUGUGUGCACUAUGUGUAGUAGGUGGGGUUUGGGUGGAGUGAGGAGGCUGAACGAUUUGCAAAGCUCCAACGUCAUGUAGAGAUCGUCACUGCCGGUGUUGAAGGCACCUGGGAAGAUGCCGCGACUUUCUUCGUCCACUUGGGGCUUUUAAACAGCGCCAUAUCGAUUGGAAUAGAGGACGUAGUUGGUAGCGUCUGGAGGGAAAUGACCGAUGACAGCGUCUCUGGAUAUCAUCGAUGCUCAAAAACCGACCAGAAUUACUAGAUGUGCACCGAGUCAGGAUCCGAAGAACCUUCCUCUUCGGCUUGUACUAGCAGCUUUUGGAAGAUGGGCCAGGGCCUGAUUUGGACAAUAGGCUUGGGCCUGGUCAUUGCCACUUGGGUUUGGACGACCUCCUUCUAAUGGGCUGGCUGGAUAGAUGACAUAUAUAUAUAUUAUUUCUUUUUCCUUUCUUUUCUUUUUCCUUUCUUUUGUUUUUGUUUUUUUGUUUUUUUGUUUUUUUUUGUUUUUUUUUGUUUUUUUUUGUUUUUUUGUUUUUUUUGUUUUUUUUUGUUUUUUUUGUUUUUUUUUGUUUUUUUUUUUUGUAAAUACAUAAUAACAUAUGUAUUUAUUUAUUUUUUUGUAAUAAAAUUGACUUUCUUUAAUAAAACAUUUAUUUUUUAUUUUGAUAUGACUGAACUCGAAAUUAAAUGUUCAAGCCGCCUACGUACCCUUCCAAAGAAGAGAUCAAGUCAUAACGUAGUUCAAAUACUUUUUUUUUUGUGCCGUACGCAGUUUCAACUCGUGCAGGCAAGGAGCUUUUGGUGCCGUUUGCAGUUUCAACUCGUGCAGGCAAGGAGCGUUUGUUGGUUCGUCAAGCGAUCUGGGAGAGUCUUUCCUCCCAAUCUUCAUAGCAAAGAGCCUUGACUGAGUAGUUGAAGAUGUCUUCUGGGAAGAUGUCAUGCAUCGUGAUGGGGAUGGAUGAUCUUCGUGUCAAAGUUUCAUUAUCUCCAACACUUUCACAUUGUUCUGAAGGUUGACAGGAGCUGCUUUGCCCCCUUUCCCAUUGGUGAACUUGUGGAAUAUAUGGUUGCUGCCUGAAGAGGCGUUCCUCGCAAUCUUUAUAGCAAGGAGCCUUGACUGAGUAGCUGAAUAAUUUUCUGAGGAAGGAGAGAUCGCGCAUGGUCGAUCUUUGUGUCGAAAUUUCCUCAUCUUCAACACUUUCACAUUGCUUUGGAGGUUGCGAAAGUUGCUUUGCCCUCUUUCCGAUGGAUGAACUUGUGGAAAAGUCAUAUGCUUCUUGUGCAGUUUCUUCGGAGUGACAUGAGUCCAUCCUUCAACUUCACUUGGCUUGACUGGCAUGGUUUUGGAACAUGCCCCCAGCGAUUGAGGUGAAGAUUUUGAGUUGACAAAGCCGGAAGUGACGUUUUCUAUCCCGUCUUCUUUGUCUUCUUGGGCCUCCUUUUCAGUGUGGUCCUCUUGGGUUUGUUGGCGUGAAGAUUGGCCGGUGUAGAUGAUGGUGCACCUCCUUACCUUCAGUGGUCCUUUUGUGUCGACCUCCAAAGCUGCUUGGCGCUUCAUCCUUGAAGGAAUCAAGCUUUGAACAUCGUCUUUUCCUGCUAGAAUGUCGAGCUUUUCUUCCUUUGGUGUUGUCUUCCUGUUUCUAGAAGGCUUCUUAGUUUCUUCAAGUAUGUCCGCAGCCGACCGUUGCGGAGGAGAUCUAGCUAUGCCGCUUUGUUUCUUGGGUUUUGAUAACCUUUCAAAGACAGAUCUUUGCAAUGUUGGCAUCCUAAGCCUUUUGAAGAUGGAAGUUCGGUCUCGACCACUGAUGCGAUCAAGUGUCGAAAUUCUAGGUUUUGAAUGAUUCAGCCUGUUGAAGACUGAAGUUCGAGGGGCGGGUUUAGGUUCUUCUUUUGGCCUUGUGGCUUGUGGUCUUGGCUUCCUUGUUUUUUUGUAAGUCGCUGAUGUCCACCAUUCCUUAUCACCAGUAAAUGCAUCUUGGUUGCUUGCCCCCGGUGAUGGUUGUGUAGGAGGUGCCGUGUGACUUGAACAUUGACAGGAAUGGUCAUGUAUGCUUCGGAGAUGCACAAGAUCGAGUGAUCCAAACACGAUAGUAGUAGUGUGUGCCGCAUCGAGUGAUCCAAACACGAUAGUAGUAGUGUGUGCCGCAACUGUGUCUUCGAGGUCAAGCUCGAUUUUCCUUUGUUAUGCUAGCUUCAGGAUGAGAUCUUUCAGUACAAAACACUUUUCCGUUAGAUGACUGAUGAAACGGUGGAAUUUAUAGUACCUUGGACUAUCAGUAAGAUUCAUCUCUUCCGGCCGUCUGCACUCAGGUAGGUCGAUCACCUUUUUGUCAAACAAGUCUUUCAACAUGGCAACCACAUUAGAGUCGAGGAAUGGAUAAGUUUUCUCCUCGAGCUCCUUCAAAGUACGUAUAUGCAUCUCUUUCAACAUGGCUGAACUGCCGUUUGAAUCGGCAUCGGAAAGCAUGGAUUCGGAGUAUUUCCUUGGGCUUUCCCCCCUUGGUGCCCUUAGUGAGGCUAAGGUGAUCACAGGCUCGUGCUUUGGGUGCUCUUGUUCCCUUGGCAGAGUUGAUGCAGAGGUGAAAGAGGCGGCAGAAGCAGCUCUUGCAUUGCUUCGAGUCGUGAUGCGCAAAGUGACACCACUUGAGACGAGGACGCUCUUGUUAUUUGCGCCGAUUGCGGGAACAGUUUGAGCCUUCCUUGAUGCCAUUGAUUUUGGAAGUGUGCUUGAAUUUCUUGAACGGAGAAAGAGAUGAGAGGUAGAGAUGAUCCCACCGGGCGUGCCAAAUUUUUAAACACGAAAAUUUCUUGAAACGAAGGAGACAAGAACACGUGUACAAAAUAAUAUUUUGUAUUUGAUGAUUUUGGGUUACAAUCUCUUUCAAAUUUGAUCAUCUGAUUCGAUCUUCGUAAGGUGUGUAUUUGUGGAUGUGCGAUUGAUCCAAGGGCCGUCGAGGCUUGAUCUUGGAUGAACGGUUGAAAGUUUCUUCUGUUGGAAAUGUGCCCUAAAACCAAUCAUAUGAUGAUACUUUACGGACAUUUCACAUGUUAAACUAAUCUAGUUUAAUAUCAAGGGCAAAGAUUAUUGUUUGAGCCGUCUCAUAUAAAUGUUAUACGCUUAAACGAUAAGUCCAAGGAAUAUGUGAUUGGGAGAAUGCGAUCUAAAGAAGUUAGAUUCAUGAGACCAUUCUUUCGUAGACACAUCCUAAACGUUCCUGAUCAUAGGAUUGCCAAUUGGGCAUUGACAGUCCGUUAAGAUCAGUACGUGUUGUGUCUUCUCUUAGGGAUAGUGACUAGUCUCGAGUCAUUGGUGUGUGUGACAUCAAGACAAGCAUGUAGGUACUCAAUAAUGAAUGAGUCCACUGAACACGAUCAACGAGGAGUUCUCAUACUCAUGUCACAUGAGAACUCAUAGUUGGGAUAAUGCAAAGUAGUCAUUUGACCUGAGGCAUCAUAGUUGUCUUGUGGUUAAGUCCUUGAUCUUUGAUUAUGUCAAAGUCACUCCAUCAUGAGGGUGUCCACGGCAUCGUCGGGGUUAAGCCACUUAGCCAUGGAGGCAAGUGAAUGUGCAACAAGGGAUCUCUAACCUUCAAACCGUUUGGGGGAGAAUACUCUAUGAUAUGAUUAAGAAUCUCUAGCCAGAGUAUGAAUGAGAUUUAGGAAGUCGUUCCAAAUCACAUUCAAGGUAAUCAUAUAAGCACACAAAUCACAUUGGAUAGUAGACAUGAAUAAACUAUCAAACCAAACAAUGUGGUCAAGAGUAUUGUAUUAGAGAAAGACCGUAUUGCAUUUGUAAUCCGAAACUGAAUAGGUUCUCCACCUCUUCUGAUUAGCUUGGGUAGCCAUGAUAUGCUGCUAGGUGUCACUCAUGGUUUGUGGAAGCCCUAAACGUGUAUAAUCACUAAAGGGAGAAUUGAAAGUAAGUUUCAAUUCACAAUCGAUUUGAAAGAGUUCUAAUCUCUCACUGCCUCGCUAAAAAGAACCUAAUGGAUCGUACACCGUGUAAGGUAGAGAUUGAAGAAACAAAGGAGAUGAGUAAGAAUAAUUAAAUGGUUUGAUUAUUUAUUUAUGGCAAGGAUUAAUUAAUAUGUUAAUUAAUCAAACGAAUAAAGUUCAUUAAAAGAUCACGGGUUAGUUUUGGGCCUCAAGGCCCAAUGGGCUUCGAACGUCAAGCCAUUAACUUAAGUUGUAUGACAACUUAAUUCACAAAGGCCCAAAAAGCCCAAUAGAACCCUAUGGCCGGCCAUUUAGAGGAAGGGUAGUGAACUUGCUUUAAUUACAAGUUUGCCACUCCAAUGAAUAAAGGUAUAAAUAUGACUUUAUAGCCAAAAUUCAUUUAGGGUUUCUUUUAGAGAAUUGGAGAGAACAUAUCUCUCCCUUUUCUCUCUAAGAGGUCGGCCACCCUUGGAGGGAUUAACUAGUAAUCUUUCUCCUCCAAGGUCACUCAUCUCUUCUUCACAUCUUACCUUGGUGUGGAGACUUAGAGGUUCUCUAUUUUGAGAACUUGGAGAAACAUAUUCUUCCAUCCAAAUCCAUGGAUCUAAGAAGCAAGGAAUGAAGGCCCUCUCAUUGGGUGAUUAGCCUUUGCUUAUGCAAAGAGGAAUCUACAAAGGUAUAAAUUUCUCAACUCACUUUGAUUUGAGUUGAGUCUUGGUUCACCAAUCUACUAGGCUUUGAAUUUCAUGGUUAAUGUUUUGUUUUUAAGUGCAUACAAGCAUGAUUCCGCCUUUUAAUUGUUAAUUGCAUGCUAUAGAUGUUGCUUAAAUGAACAUGUUUUUCACAAAAUUUCCUUCAUCUUCAAGGGCCGUUGAGGCUUGAUCUUGAAUGGCGGUGAUGAACAGAUCUUCAAGGGCUUUUGAGGAUUGAUCUUGAUGAACAGUUGAUGGAUGGAUCUUCAAGGGCUUUUGGGCUUGAUCUUGAAUAACGGUGAUGAACGGACCUUCAAGGGCUUUUGGGUUUUGAUCUUGAAGGACGGUUGGAUGUGUGGAUUUGUCGACGUUGUUGAUCCAAAGGGCCGUUGGGGCUUGAUCUUGAAGGUUAGGUUGACGAAGAAUGAAGAGAGCUUUCUUGAUCAUUCGGGAUUUGCUUGGGAGCUUUGGAGUUUCAAAGUUUCAAGGUUUUGGCGUCAGGUGAAUUGGUUAUGAAUUGGUUCUUUUUCUCCCUUCAAAUGAAUGAAUUAGCCUUCUAUUUAUAGAAAUUUCCAGGGCUUAAUUUUGAAUAUAAUAUUCCAGAUGAAAUAAGUCGUUUCUGCCAUGUGUUGACAUGUGUCCUAUUUGAUGACUUUUCCGACUCUUUUCGAUUUUUCGUUUAGUCUACGUGUAAAAUUUAUGUGACACGUGAGCGUUGAAAUUGUAACUAUUGGUCAACAUUUAUUUCACCAAAAUUUCGAUGUCUACAAUAAUUCUUGAAAAAAUAAUUUUACAGUAACAAUCACAUAUGGUUGUAGGUCGGAGAAAAUUGCAAAGGCAUAGAGAAGGAUUUUGAUGACAAAUUUACCUAGCUAACGAAUUUCAGAAAAAAUUACAAAAAAAAAUUCAUUAGUUCUACAAGAUUUGGGGGUUAAAAUGUGAACGAUGAGAGGUUCCAUGUCGAGAGGCAUAGCUGAUGCGACCUAUAGAGGAAGUGAAAUGGAUAAAAGUUAAAGUUUGAGUAAGAACAAAGAUAAGUGGUGGGAUCCAAAAUUCUAAUUAUCUUUAAUUCUCUCAUGCAUUGCUUAUACAUUUCAAUUAAAAACUCAAAAAUAUGAUAUAUAUUUUUAGUCGCAUAUUGACAAAGUAAGUAAAUAAGAAAAAACACCUCACAGUUUUAUAUAAAAGCACUCCAAAAUUUCGAGGGGAAACAUCUAGUUGUAAGCCGGGGUUUUUUGGUUCCCUUUUCUCAAAUCAAAUGUUGUGUCACCAAUAAAAAUAAGCACGUUAAUCAACCCUUAAAUAAUAAUCCAAUCUUUAACUUCCAUGUCAUUUAGUUUACCAUAUUUUGUCUACAAAUUUAAUCUUCUUAACAUUACCCUUUCUAAAUUAUUAAAUUUGGUGUGCUUUUCUAAGUGUUAUUUUAUCGAAAUCUUACCUAUGAAAACAAAUAAUUUUUAUUAUAUGGAGUUUAGGGUAUAUUUUUUUACGUUGCCUUGGGCCUCAAAAAUCUCAAGACCGGCCCUGAUAUACAAUGAAUACCAUCCUCUUAUUCUAGUAAAAGCACUCAUUUUCUUUGCUCAGCGAUCAUUUUCUAGUCAAAGCAUAUAUAAUUAAAAGAAAACUUAGGUCACAGACACUUUUGGAAAUUUGGGGAUGCAAUUUUCAAGGGAGGCAGAUUGUCUGCUCUUUUGGUGCCCUUUCCAUCCCCUCCUAUUUAUAUGGUCAUGGUUAAGCCACGGCAACAUUUUAUAUUAAUUUUUUAAUAGAGAUAAUAGGACAAAAAAUAAUAAAAAUAUAAAAUGUUGAUGUAACUUAACCGUGACAGUAUAAAUAGAUGGGGAUGAGAAGGGCACCAUAACAGGAGGACAGACAAUCUCUGCCCUCCCACCAUUUUCAAGACGCCCAAAUCCUGUUUAUGGAAAUAUCCCUUCCAUUUUUCAAUUGGAUGGUUUUUUAAGGGUUUUUAUAUUAACACCUCGCAAAAUGUUGAAUGCACCCCACAUUAAAAUUUAAUAUUAAAUGACUUAUUUACUCUACUAUGUAAUGAAAAUUUUGACCUUAUUAGAUAUAAAAAAAAUAAAGAUUUAUAAAUACACCCCAAAUCACUUUUAAUGUAUUAUUUAUCUUCUCAACUAUCAAACAUGUUGAUUAAGAAAAAUUGUUUUUGACGAAUGGAACACGAAAUCGAUGUUUCAGGAGCUUCACAUGAGGUAAGACUUCAUAGUUUUCAUUGUUUUAGUGAUUUCAAUGACAUCAAUAAUGAUUUAAUCUUGCGUUUGUUGCAUUAUUUAAACUUCUAUAUUCAUAUUCAUCUUUUAGUGUUCAUAUGGUUAGAUUCAAUCCCUGAAAAUUAAUGAGUGUUAUAAGAUUUGAGAAAUGUGGGGUGUAAAGAAAAUGUGGGGUGUAUGUACAAAAUAUAAUAUGUAUAUUGAGAAUGUGGGGUGUGGGGGUAUUAUGGGAAAGUAAGUGGGUGUAUUAAGAUAAUUUUUAAGUGAAAAAGCAAAUGUGGGGUGUAUUAAGUUUAUGGGGUUUAUUCAACAAUUUGUGGGGUGUUAAUAUAAUUAGCCUUUUUUAAUUAAUAAAUCAAAAGAAAGAAGGUUAUGUGGAAGCUGAGACGGUUCUAACUUCCUUAUUAGAAAGACUGUUAGGGACGCUACAAGUGGAUGGAUGUAUGCAUGUGAGCACCCCCACCUCUUCUCCACUCCAAUUUUAACUUCUUCCACCCCAAUUGUUGGAGUGGCAUUAUCAUCACAUCACACCCUAUCUAUCUAUGUAGUAAGAAGCAUAGUCUAAAAUAUCUAUAAUAUUCCGAUAUUUCCAUCGAAAUUUUCGUGUUUUUGAACUACCGAUAUUUCCGAUAUCAUCGAUAUUUUAGACCUUGCUAAGUCACUCAUGUAUCUUACCAUGCAAUGUAUAAAGUGUAAAAUAUUGUACUAAUUCAUUAUAUAUAAAUGAUUAUGGUGUGCUUAAACUUCUUUCAUUAAUUACUACAUAUUUUCUACAUUCACAAUGUUUGCCAGCUCACUAUAUAAUCAACUUAAAUCAGUUAUAUCUAUCAUGAAAUGCAUUUCCUUCCAAUUUUUUGUGAUAAACUAAUAGAUAAUUGACUAAAUAAACAUCCUGCAAAGUUUCAAUAAAAAUUUCCAUGUUUUUCUUACAAUUUCAGUGGUUUUUAUUCAAUUUUUAUCGAUAUCGAUAAUAUCCUGAUAUUUUCAUUGAAAUUUUCGUGUUUUUGGAUUACUGAUAUUUCUAAUAUCAUCGAUAUUUUAUAUCUUAGUUCACCUGUGGUUUUUACGUUGAAAAAAAAUCAUAACAAUGGUGGUGAAGGUGUAUGGGCCUCUGUACGGCUCCCCAAAGCGUGUGCUGGUGUGCCUUGUUGAGAAAGAAAGAGGUCGACUUUGAGACAGUCUCCAUUGAUGUCCUCAAGGGAGAGCACAAACACCCUGAUUUCCUCAAGUUGCAGGUUGGCUAAUUAAUUACUUCUUAAUCCAAUUGUUUCUCAUUAGUGAUUGUUUUACUCAUAAACUAUGGAAAUUAUUAUAGGAGUUUUAACUAAACACUUCAGAUACUGUUCACUUUUAACGAAAAAUCACAUUUUUAGCAUUUUCUGGUACUAUUUACUACAUCUUUAUUUGUCAUUUUUCAUUAAAAUUAAAGUGUUUUUGAAUUUUUCGUUAGUUUUUCUAAUUAUUUAUGUGUAUGUUGAUUUUUGUAUUGGUUUGUUUUAAAUGCAGCCAUUUGGAUCAGUUCCUCUCAUUCAAGUUGGGGAUUAUAUAUACUCUAUAUGGUAUGCUGUGCCUUCUUGCUGGCACUUGAUUUUUUAAUUUUAUUGUUUAAUAUAAUACAAGUGAUAGUGGGGCAGGAAAAUAGAACUCGGAAUCUCAGUUGAAGCAAUGAAUAUUCUUAACUAACUGAGCGACAACUAUUUUGCAGCCAAAUUUUUUUAUCUUUUGAGAAUUCCCUUUUGUGGGUUUACUUCAGUUAGCAUCAGAUUCACACUACAAUACACUUGCUCAUUGGUUUCUUAACAUCACCAACCAUAGCGAAGCCACAGAGACGCAAGGAGGUACGAGAAUUCGUCCCUCUGAACCUGCACGGAAGGUGUUCAAUGAAAUUCCUGAACUGAUCACCAAUACAAUGAUCUAACAAGUUGCUUACUAAGAAUGUAAAGUUGCACAUCGGAAACCAGAGCAAAUAAAAUACAACACGUAAUUAAUGAUUCCACAACAAAUAGAACCGAAGAUAUUUUUUUAAUUUUUUUAAUUUUUAAUUUUUUGAGAUAAAACUCCACUGGUCCAUCUUUCUGAAAUCUUGCCAAUUGUUUGAUAAAUCGUCUUUGAUCUGUAGAAUCACGAGCAAUCAUAAGGUACUACGCAGAAAAGUAUAAGUCACAAGGGACUAAUUUACUGGGGAAGACAAUUGAGGAAAGAGGGCUUGUGGAACAAUGGCUGGAAGUUGAAGCGCACAACUUCCACCCACCUAGCUACAAUAUGGUCCUUCACAUUCUCUUUGCCUCAGUUUCGGGUUUUCCUUCAGACCCCAAGAUCAUACAAGAGAGUGAAGAAAAGCUGGGAAAAGUGCUGGACAUUUACGAGGAGCGGCUGUCGAAGAGCAAGUACUUGGCCGGUGAUUUCUUCAGCCUUGUUGAUCUUAGCCACCUUCCGCUCACUCAAUACUUGGUGGCUAAUAUGGGGAAGGAGUAUAUGAUCUGGGACAGAAAACAUGUCUCUGCAUGGUGGGAUGACAUUAGCAACAGACCAUCUUGGAAGAGGGUCCUCCAGUUUGGUGCCCCAUUUUAAGGUCGAUGUACCUUUGGAAGAAAAUGUGUGUACAACGGGUGUAUACAAUGGUUUUUCUCGUAGUGAUAACGUGUUGUGUAUAAAAAGUUAUUGUGAGAAGAAGGUUUUACUCUCUUGUACUUUAUAUAAACUUUUGUAACCUGGGGGUUGGGCAAAAUAAAUAAUCAGAACAACUUGUUGGAUUAGUGUGCUCUUUCCUUUAUCAUUUGCUUUAUGUCAUGGCUAUCUGCCGAUCUGUGGUCAUUUUUCUGUGUCAUCUUCCUUCUAUUUUCACUUGAUGAUCAACACUGCAAGGUCAAGCUCAUCUUUGAUGUUCGAACUUGUGAACUACAUAAUACUUCUCCAAAUUAGGGUUUAUCAAUAGUAAAAUAUGUGUGACUGUAACACUACUUGGCAGUGUGAAGUCGCACUGAGAAGAUUAAAUAAAUAAAUACAUGUGUUAUAGUAUGUAAAAUUGUAACACCACGUAACAAUAUAACAGUUACUUAUAAAGAUUAAGUACAUAAAUACACUUGUAUAAUAUGAAUUAAAAAGAUCAAGUACAUAAAUACAUGUGUAUAAUAUAAAUAUUAUUCAUGUAAGUGUCUCACGUGAGUGGCUAUAAAGGAGACAGUUGUUCAUCAUAUGAAUACAAAACAAGGCAGAUAGAUAUCCACAACUUCAAUGCAUUUCAGAUGCUUUCUCAUCACAUUUGGUACCUUUUACUCGUCUUAUGUCAUGCCCUCCAUUUUAUAUGAAUUAUUUAUAAAAAAUUGUUAUUGACAACGGUAAGACCUUUAUUUUAUUUUUUUAAUUUUUUUAUAUUUAGUUAUGAGGAGUGCAUAAUAGAUUUUUAGAGUAUCAAUAAGAAUUAUUUUAUAUGUACAUAAUUGUCUUUCCCUUGCUAUCUUAGAGCUUCACCAAAAUAAAUGUCAAAAUGUCCAAAUUAGUAUUAAUAGUCAAAAGAUAGCAACAAUUUUCCAAUGGAAAAACCAUAUCUGAUGUGGCAUGACAUAAAUUAGCAACUAUCACCCUUGUUGCCCAAAUUAACAGCAACUUCAAAUCAUUUUUUAAUUAAUUAUUGAUUGCAUUUUAUUAAGUUUAUUAUUGUUUUUUCUUUCAAAACAUUUAUUAUAAUAUUUUAAUAUAAUAAAAUAAUAGCUUAAUUGACACAUCGGGUGAAGAGAAAAACUAAAAUAUGUCAAACUACGACAUUGACUGUCAAAUUUAAAUUUUAUAUUUAAAAUUGGAUAAAUUACAUUUUACCCCCUCAAGUUGAGGUUAACAAAUUUGUUGGAAUUUUGGAUUGACAGGCCGGGCCGCCCCACUCUAACAACACCAAUAUUGUCCCACAACUUGGUAAUUACCACAUGUCCAAUCCGUCAUGUGUGCAGAUUAGGUUUAUUAAUUAGAGUGAGGUAAUCAUAUUUAAGCUCAUUAUUUCCCUUUCUCCCACAUGUGGAUGCAAAUUUCUUCCUCCUUGAUCUUGGACAAUUUUGCACCUACAAAACAAUUAACACCUUAGGUUAAGGCCAAGAGCCUUACGUGCCCACGAUGAAUGGGGGGGGGCGUUGGCCGAAGAACCUCCGAUGCCAAAGUUAGAAUUUAGAGAGAAAGAGUGUUUAGAGAAUUUUGGGAUUUUUGCCAAAGUGUUGGAAUGAAUACAACAACAACAACAACAACAAAGCCUUUUCCCACUAAGUGGGGUCGGCUAUAUGAAUCCUAGAACGCCAUUGCGCUCGGUUUUGUGUCAUGUCCUCCGUUAGAUCCAAGUACUCUAAGCCUUUUCUUAGAGUCUCUUCCAAAGUUUUCCUAGGUCUUCCUCUACCCCUUCGGCCCAGAACCUCUGUCCCGUAGUCACAUCUUCGAACCGGAGCGUCAGUCGGCCUUCUUUGCACAUGUCCAAAUCACCGGAACCGAUUUUCUCUCAUCUUUCCUUCAAUUUCGGCUACUCCUACUUUACCUCGGAUAUCCUCAUUCUCAAUCUUAUCCUUUCUCGUGUGCCCACACAUCCCACGAAGCAUCCUCAUCUCCGCUACACCCAUUUUGUGUACGUGUUGAUGUUUCACCGCCCAACAUUCUGUGCCAUACAACAUCGCUGGCCUUAUUGCCGUCCUAUAAAAUUUUCCCUUGAGCUUCAGUGGCCUACGACGGUCACACAACACGCCGGAUGCACUCUUACACUUCAUCCAUCCAACUCGUAUUCUAUAGUUGAGAUCUCCAUCUAAUUCUCCGUUCUCUUGCAAGAUAGAUCCUAGGUAACGAAAACGGUCGCUUUUUGUGAUCUUCGCUAGAUUGCUCCGGUCAUUAGUGUGGAUAAGUAUAUAAAUGGAUAGAGAUAGGAAAGCAAACACAAGAUGUACGUGGUUCACCCAGAUUGGCUACGUCCACGGAAUAGAAGAGUUCUCAUUAAUUGUGAAGGGUUUACACAAGUACAUAGGUUUAAGCUCUCCUUUAGUGAGUACAAGUGAAUGAUUUAGUACAAAUGACAUUAGAGUACAAAUGACAUUAGAGUACAAAUGACAUUAGGAAAUAUUGUGGGAGAAUGAUCUCGUAAUCACGAAACCUCUAAGUAUCGGAGUGUGGUAUCAUCUUGACUUGCCUUAUCUGUCUCAUAGGUAGAUGUGGCAGCUUCUCUGGAAGUACUCUUCCUCCAUCCAGGGGUGGUAUCUUUAAUUGGUGGAGAUGCACAAGGUAAUGUAUCAAUUUCACUUGAAGCUUACUUGUAGUUUCAGGCUUGGUCAAGCGCGAUACAAACCAUGUAGUAGGAGUCCCCCACGUCGCCGAGCUAGGGGAUCUGCUGAAAGAGGUGACAGACAAGGUAAGCAAUCAGAGCUCCGGCUGAUUGUUCACCUUCUCCCCAUCUUGCAGCAGCAUGAAGGAUAAAGAGAAGAAAAAUGAGAAGAGAUGAUAUGGGAUACUUUUGCUUUUGAAGAAAUAGCUUUCCACAGGCUUAUUCUUGAACUGAGCUGGAGGGUUUUCUGGUUUCCUCCAGAGUAUAAGGCCGACUGAAGAAUUUGAGGGUCAAAACAAGUCCAUCAAAUCUAGAGUACGUUCGACCCUGCUGAUAUGGGAUACUUUUGCUUUUGACAGAGUAAUGGAUGUAUAGGCACGUGUGCUGUUACGUUUGUCUCCACAUGCUUCCUUGUAUCCUUCGCACUUGCCCUAUCUGUUCCUCAAGCAGAUGCGGUAUCUUCCCUGGAAACAUAAGAUGUUGAAGAUGAGUACUCGAGAGCAAUGCCAGGUAAGUAAUCAGGUAAGGGGUUCUAGGCAGUCAGUUCCUGAUUGGGAGCUUGAUUUCAAGUGCUGACUGAUUGCUCUCUUUCUCCUUGUCUUGCAGGUAAAAACAAGGCCAAAGGAAAAGACAGGGAAAAGCAUGAUAUGGGAUACUCUUGCUUUUAACCCUGAUGAUAUGAGAUAUUCUUGCUCUAGUAUAGCUUGUUUGCAGAGGUAUUAUCAGGGGGAAAGAAAGCUGAAUAUUUCGAAAGGCUUCGUUGGGAGUGCCCUCUUAGAUAUGAGGAAGGGUUAAGCAUUUUUGCAGGUCUGCCUGUUCGUUGGGGAUGAAGGUCGACAUAUAUAGAAGUCUCCCUAACAACAAGUAGUAAUGCUAUUCCUUUACCCUGCUUGGUCAUAGCACGGUAGUGGGAGCUGCCAGCUUCACAUGUUUUAACUCUGUCAGAGCACUUUGAAAAAGUGGCAUGUGGUAUCUGGCUCUCGAGAUUCGGAGAACGAUGCUUCUUCGAUUUUUGAGAAAGCAAUCAUGCUGGGGGUCUGGCUCUCGAGAUUCGGGGAGCAGUGUCUCUUCGAUUUUUGAGAAAGUAAUCAUGUUGGGAGUCUGGCUCUCGAGAUUCGGAGGGCGGUGCCUCUUCGAUUUUGGAGUAAGCAAUCUUGUUGGGAGUGUUUUCUCGGAUGUGAGUAAAGGUUCGGCAUGUUUACUAGUCUACCUUGCCACGAAGCACGGAGGUUGACACACAGGGACUUUCCAAUUAUCCAGCAGUGGUACUGUUCCUUUACCCUUAUGGGUAAUAAUAUGGUAGCUAGACCUUCAAAAUUUAUGUGUCUAAACUUUGUUAGUGCUGUUCUUUUGCUAUUCUUUUACCUUUCUUGGUCAGAGCGAUAUAGUGGGAGCUGCAAGCUUCACGUGCUCAACUUUGGCAGAGACUUUGGCAAAGUUAUCUGUGGUACCCAUGAGCUAUUGUUGCGUGUGGGAAGUGGGUGAUUGAACAGUAAGAUUCAUGUGUUUUCGACUUCACCAGAAGUCUUCGACAGAAUGCCCAUAAUUUCCGCAAAGCUGAGUGUGCGUGUGACAGGUGCUGACAAGGCUAGAAAAGUAGGUGCCUCUUCGAUUUCUGAGAUCGGCCCUCGUGAUCUCUGAGCAGCCCAGCUUUUGAGAAAGCGAGCGCCUCUUCGAUUGAUUCGGAGAACGAUGCCUCUUCGAUUUUUGAGAAAGCAAUCAUGCUGGGGGUCUGGCUCUCGAGAUUCGGGGAGCAGUGUCUCUUCGAUUUUUGAGAAAGUAAUCAUGUUGGGAGUCUGGCUCUCGAGAUUCGGAGGGCGGUGCCUCUUCGAUUUUGGAGCAAGCAAUCUUGUUGGAAGUGUUUUCUCGAAUGUGAGUAAAGGUUGGGCAUGUUUGCUAGUCUACCUUGCCACGAAGCACAGAGGUUGACAUACAGGGACUUUCCAAUUAUCCAGCAAUGGUACUGUUCAUUUACCCUCUCUUCGAUUUUUGAGAAAGUAGUCAUGUUGAGAGUCUGGCUCUCGAGAUUCGGAGGACGGUGCCUCUUCGAUUUUGGAGCAAGCAAUCUUAUUGGGAGUGUUUUCUCGAAAAUGUGAGUAAAGGUUCGGCAUGUUUGCUAGUCUACCUUGCCACAAGGCACAGAGGUUGACACACAGGGACUUUCCAAUUAUCCAGCAGUGGUACUGUUCCUUUACCCUUGUGGGUAAUAAUAUGGUAGCUAGACCUUCAAAAUUUAUGGGUCUAAACUUUGUUAGUGCUGUUUCUUUGCUAUUCUUUUACCCUUCUUGGUCAGAGCGAUGUAGUGGGAGCUGCAAGCUUCACGUGCUCAACUUUGGCAGAGAACUUUGGCAAAGUUAUCUGUGGUACCCAUGAGCUAUUGUUGCGUGUGGGAAGUGGGUGAUUGGACAGUAAGAUUCAUGUGUUUUCUACUUCCCCAGAAGUUUUCGACAGAAUACCCAUAAUUUCCGCAAAGCUGAGUGUGUGUGUGACAGGUGCUGACAAGGCUGGAAAAGUAGGUGCCUCUUCGAUUUCUGAGAUCGGCCCUCGUGGUCUCUGAGAAGCCCAGCUUUUGAGAAAGCGAGCGCCUCUUCGAUUUCUGAGAUCGGCUUUCAUGGUCUUUGAGCAGCCCAACUUUUGAGAAAGCAAACACCUCUUCGAUUUAUGAGAUCACCCUCGUGGUCUCUAAGCAGCCCAGCUUUUGAGAAAGCAAACGCCUCUUCGAUUUCUGAGCAGACGCCUCUUCGAUGUCUGAAGCUCCGUCGAGUGCAGCUUUUUAUAGGGGCUAGCAUUAAGUUCCAAAGCACACUUGAAUCUCCACCAGUAGAAGCUCCAUUCUUGCACUUCUAAGAUCUUGAUUUGUCCGACUUCUUCUCUCUUCAACACCUUUGAAAAUGUCUGGCCCCUCCGACCGUCGUUUUGACUUGAACCUUGUUGAAGAGGCAGCCCCGCCUUCUCCAGACAACAUAUGGCGCCCAUCCUUCGUCUCCCCUACUGGUCCUCUUACCAUUGGGGAUUCCGUGAUGAAGAAUGAUAUGACCGCGGCGGUGGUGGCCAGGAACCUUCUCACUCCCAAAGAUAACAGACUACUUUCCAAACGGUCUGAUGAGUUAGCUGUUAAGGAUUCGCUGGCUCUCAGUGUUCAGUGUGCAGGUUCUGUGUCUAAUAUGGCCCAACGCCUAUUUGCUCGAACCCGCCAAGUUGAAUCAUUGGCGGCCGAAGUGAUGAGUCUCAAACAGGAGAUUAGAGGGCUCAAGCAUGAGAAUAAACAGUUGCACCGACUCGCACAUGACUAUGCUACAAACAUGAAGAGGAAGCUUGACCAGAUGAAGGAAACUGAUGAUGGUCAGGUUUUACUUGAUCAUCAGAGAUUUGUGGGUUUGUUCCAAAGGCAUUUAUUGCCUUCGUCUUCUGGGGCUGUACCGCGUAAUGAAGCUCCAAAUGAUCAACCUCUGAUGCCUCCUCCUUCUAGGGUUCUGUCCAAUACUGAGGCUUCGAAUGAUCCCCCUUCGAUGCCUUCUCUUUCUGGGGCUCUACCGACUGCUGAGACUUCUCCUAAGCAACCUUUGUGAAGGCUCCAUCUUGUUUGUUUAUUUUGACUCAUGUAUAUGUACAUAUUUGUAGCUUAUCGGGGAUAUCAAUAAAUAAGUUUUCCUUCAUUUCAACGUAUUGUGUUAAAUACACCAAAGCCUUCUUCGCUAAGUUCUUUGAUUUUUUUUUUUUUGUUGAAGCUUGUAUGUUGAAGCUUUCUGAGUGGAGCAUGUAGGUUGGGGUAGUGUUCCCUUAAUUUUCCGAGUGAGGAAAACUUCUCGGUUGGAGACUUGGAAAAUCCAAGUCACUGAGUAGGAUCGGCUAUAUGAAUCUUAUAACGCCAUUGUGCUCGGUCCUGUGUCAUGUCUUUCGUUAGAUCCAAGUACUCUAAGUCUUUUCUUAGAGUCUCUUCCAAAGUUUUCCUAGGUCUUCCUCUACCCCUUCGGCCCUGAACCUCUGUCCCAUAGUCGCAUCUUCUAAUCGGAGCGUCAGUAGGCCUUCUUUGCAUAUGUCCAAACCACCGUAACCGAUUUUCUCUCAUCUUUCCUUCAAUUUCGGCUACUCCUACUUUACCCCGGAUAUCCUCAUUCCUAAUCUUAUCCUUUCUCGUGUGCCCACACAUCCAACGAAGCAUCCUCAUCUCCGCUACACCUAUUUUGUGUACGUGUUGAUGCUUCACCGCCCAACAUUCUGUGCCAUACAGCAUCGCCGGCCUUAUUGCCGUCCUAUAAAUUUUCCCUUGAGCUUCAGUGGCAUACGGCGGUCACACAACACACCAGAUGCACUCUUCCACUUCAUCCAUCCAGCUUGUAUUCUAUGGUUGAGAUCUCCAUCUAAUUCUCCGUUCUUUUGCAAGAUAGAUCCUAGGUAACGAAAACGGUCGCUCUUUGGUAUUUCUUGAUCUCCGAUUCUCACCCCUACCUCGUUUUGGCCUCCAUUUGCACUGAACUUGCACUCCAUAUAUUCUGUCUUUGAUCGGCUUAGGCGAAGACCUUUAGAUUCCAACACUUCUCUCCAAAGGUUAAGCUUUGCAUUUACCCCUUCCUGAGUUUCAUCUAUCAACACUAUAUCGUCUGCGAAAAGCAUACACCAAGGAAUAUCAUCUUGAAUAUGUCCUGUUAACUCAUCCAUUACCAACGCAAAAAGGUAAGGACUUAAGGAUGAGCAUUGAUGUAAUCCUACAGUUAUGGGAAAGCUUUCGGUUUGUCCUUCAUGAGUUCUUACGGCAGUCUUUGCUCCUUCAUACAUAUCCUUUAUAGCUUGGAUAUAUGCUACUCGUACUCCUUUCUUCUCUAAAAUCCUCCAAAGAAUGUCUCUUGGGACCUUAUCAUACGCUUUUUCCAAAUCUAUAAAGACCAUGUGUAAAUCCUUUUUCCCAUCUCUAUAUCUUUCCAUCAAUCUUCGUAAGAGAUAGAUUGCCUCCAUGGUUGAGCGCCCUGGCAUGAACCCGAAUUGGUUGUCCGAAACCCGUGUCUCUUGCCUCAAUCUAUGCUCAAUGACUCUCUCCCAGAGCUUCAUUGUAUGACUCAUUAACUUAAUACCCCUAUAGUUCAUGCAAUUUUGUACGUCGCCCUUAUUCUUGUAGAUAGGCACCAAAGUGCUUGUUCGCCACUCAUUUGGCAUCUUCUUCUUUUCAAAAUCCUAUUGAAAAGGUCAGUGAGCCAUGUUAUACCUGUCUCUCCCAAAACUUUCCACACUUCGAUUGGUAUAUCGUCUGGGCCUAUUGCUUUUCUAUGCUUCAUCUUCUUCAAAGCUACAACCACUUCUUCCUUCCGGAUUCGACGAUAAAAAGAGUAGUUUCUACACUCUUCUGAGUUACUCAACUCCCCUAAAGAAGCACUCAUUUUAGGUCCUUCAUUGAAAAGAUUAUGAAAAUAACAUCUCCAUCUGUCUUUAACCGCGUUCUCUGUAGCAAGAACCUUUCCAUCCUCAUCCUUGAUGCACCUCACUUGGUUUAGGUCCCUUGUCUUCUUUUCCCUUGCUCUAGCUAGUUUAUAGAUAUCCAACUCUCAUUCUUUGGUAUCUAGUCGUUUAUACAUAUCGUCGUAAGCCGCUAACUUAGCUUCUCUGACAGCUUUCUUCGCCUCUUACUUCGCUUUUCUAUACCUUUCACCAUUUUCAUCGGUCCUAUCCUUGUUUGGGAAUUACCUUGUAGAUAGGAUUUGAUGAGAUGGACUUUGAAUUGUUACCUAUUUUGGGCACUUCUGUCUUGGUUGAAAGAGGGUUGCUCGCUGCUUGCGCGUAGGAACCUCGUUGUACUGCAAGGGUAUUUUUGUCAUUUUUGUCCAAAAAUUCACGUGUCGCCUUGUGAAUAUUUUUGGCUCCACACCACCGAUGUGGGAUAAUCAACAAAAGUAACCGUUGAAUAAUGACGUAAUAAUAAUGUGUUCCUCAUUUAUGCUAACGUGCCAACUUGUGCCACAUGACCAUUAAAUUAAAAAACUUUUCGACUAGAAAAAUGAUCUUCGAAAUGCAUCCUUUAAUCUCUGAAAAUAUAAUUUAUCCUUUAAAAUUUAGCAUCUCUUUUUGAAGAUGCUGCUAAGACAUAAGAAAACUACAAAUGGAUGGAUGUAUACAUGUGAGCAGCCCCACCCACCCUCCACUCCAAUUUUAAAUUCUUCCAUCCAAUUGUUGGAGUGCUAUAUAAUAAGAAGUAAAGAACCAGAAGCUGGAGUUUGCAGAUUUGAUCUAAAUCCUUCGGUUUUAACACUAAGAAGUCAUAACAUGGUGGUGAAGGUGUAUGGGCCUCUGUACGCCGCCCCAAAGCGUGUGCUGGUAUGCCUUGUUGAGAAAGAGGUUCACUUUGAGACAGUCCCCAUUGAUCUUCUCAAGGGAGAGAACAAACACCCUGAUUUCCUCAAGUUACAGGUUAGCUAAUUAGUUACCUCUUAAUGCAAUUGUUUCUGAUUAGUGAUUGUUUUACUCAUGGUAUGAAUUGAGAUGGUCUUUUGUAAAUACAUAAUUAUUUUGAGUAUAUUAAUUAUUUCUUUAUUUUCCAAUCGUCUGGAAAGGCCAAAAGAAACAUCUUAUUCUUUCUUCAACAAUUUCUGAUCUUUAGUGGACCUCUCAAUAGGAUUUAAACCCAGAUGAAGUUCUGAUCAUCUGUCAGAGAAAAAAGAACGAAUAAGUCUGUAAAUUAUUUACUUGUACAUUGAUUUUGUAUUGGUUUGUCUUUAAUUGCAGCCAUUUGGAACAGUUCCUCUCAUUCAAGAUGGGGAUUAUACUCUAUAUGGUAUGCUAUGCUUUCUUUCUAGCACUUGAUAUUUUAGUUUUUAUUGUUUAUUCUGAUACAAGUGAUAGUGCGGUAGGAAAAUCAAACUCGGAAUCUCAGUUGUAUCGAUGAAUAUUGUUAAUCAACUGAGCAACAACCAUUUUUACUAGCACAUGAUAGAUCUUAAUUUUUGGGGCCAAAAUUUAUCAUCUUUUGAGAAUUUCCUUAGCAUCAGAUUGACAUUACAAUACACUUGCUCACUGGUUUCUUAACAUCAUUGUUGUUUAAGAAUGUAAAGUUGCAUGUCGGAAACCUGACCGAAUAAAAUGCAACACGUAAGUAGCGAUUCCACUAAUAAUAGAAGGGAAUUUUAACGAAAAACUCCAUGUACUGUUCACUUUAACGAAAAACCACAUUUUUACACUAAAAAGUCAAUCCUGGUACUAUUCAUUUUACCCUUUAUUUUGUCCUUAUCGUUAAAACUCAAAAUUUUCAAGCUAUUUUCAUUAGUUUUCCUAAUAUAGGGGUACCAAAGUAUUUUGAGAUAAAACUGCAGUGGUAUGUCUUUCUGAAAUCUUACCAGUUUGAUAAAAUCGUCUUUGAUCUGCAGAAUCACGCGCAAUCAUGAGGUACUACGCAGAAAAAUAUAAGUCACAAGGGACUGAUUUGCUGGGAAAGACAAUUGAGGAAAGAGGGCUUGUAGAACAAUGGCUGGAAGUUGAAGCACACAACUUCCAGCCACCAAUCUACAACUUGGUCGUUCACAUUCUCUUUGCCCCAGUUUUGGGUUUUCCUUCAGACCCCAAGAUCUUACAAGAGAGUGAAGAAAAGCUGGGAAAAGUGCUGGACAUUUACGAGGAGCAGCUGUCGAAGAGCAAGUACUUGGCCGGUGAUUUCUUCAGCCUUGCUGAUAUUAGCCACCUUCCAUUCACUCACUUCUUGGUGGCUAAUAUGGGGAAGGAGUAUAUGAUCAAGGACAGAAAGCAUGUCUCUGCAUGGUGGGAUGACAUUAGCAACAGACCAUCUUGGAAGAGGGUCCUACAGUUUGGUGACCCAUUUUAAGGUCGAUACCUUGUAAGAAAAAUUGUGUACUAAGGGUGUCUAUAAUUAUUUUUCUCGCAGUGAUACGUGUUGUGUGUGAAAAAUUAUUGUGUGAAGAACGUUAAAUUCUCGUGUAACGUUAUAUUCUCUUAUAGUUUAUAAAACUAUUGUACCCUGGAGUUGGGCAAAAUAAAUAAUCAGAACAGCUUGUUGGAAUAAUGUGCUAUCUCCUUGAUCAUUUGCUUUAUGUCAUGGCUUGUGAGAUGUUUUUUAUUUCUCUGUAAGGCUCACAAUCGACCUUCC